rnacentral:lncRNA from 1 species
UGAUUUUGUUAUGCUAUCCAAACGAAGAUCUAGCGCGUGGUAGUAGUUAGGCCGAAAUGAGUUUUAAUAAGGGUUCUUAAUGUUUUCAUAAAACCGACUAUCAAACAAUCACUAAGUAUCAUUGAGUUAAUUAUGAAAUAUAUUUUUUAGAAUAUUAUAUAAUAUAUAAUAAUUUUCUACAAACUUGAUUAAAGUUAAUAGAAUUUGAUUGGCGCAUAAGCAACGUGCAUGCAUGUUCUGCCCUGAUGAUUGUGAUGAAGCGAGCCCUAGCUAACUAACUACUUGUGUCCUAGCCUGUACGUAACAUAAGAGCUAACAGCACGAUCAGCGUGAUCCUGCGUUCCUCUAGUUCACUCGCCCGUGCGCACGUGUUCCAUUCCACGCAUCAUCCUCUUUUUUUUUUAUAACGCUAUACGUUAAGGCAAUCGCAGGUGGGCCGCUGUUUGCUUGCUUUUGUCGAGCCCCGGCCCGUUAACUCCCUUUUUUUUAGCUUAAUUAACGUUGGCACUACGGCCCAGUGAACUCCUUCGACAAAGGCCCAUGGACGCGUUGGGCUGUCGCUACGACUCUGGUCGUGUGAGAGUCCAGCCCCGUCGUCCAUCGGCCCGGCAAGGAAAGCCUAUCUGCCAAGUAGUACUUCGGGAAUCGUCCGUUGGGCCAUUGUCGAGGAGCUAUUUCAACAACUGAUGGGCCGGUGCUCAUUGUCGCCAGACACCUCACCUCACUCGCAAAGUCGCCAGUCACACCCGUGCCUCUCCUGAUUCCUGAACGAGCGCGAUGAGUUCCAACACGAAUCUACACAGCCAGCAUUGCGUUGCGUGCCAUCGACAACAUAAGGAGUGGAGUACGUAAUAUCCGAGAUUCCAAACACUGACCGAUCGCUGAAGGCCGCCGAUGGAGACAAAGAAGCCGAUUGCGUGCCCUGUGUGCUGGCUGUGAAUCGUGAUCACGGGCGUUCCUUGGAGCAUAGCUUAUCUACUAAACUACUAUUUAACUGUGUUUUUUAAUAAUAAAUUAACGAUUAAUACUUUAAACUACUAGUAUAUUACCCGUGCUAACGCUACGGUGACAUUAGAAAAAAAUUAUAAAACUAAAAAAAUCAUAAAACUAAAAAACAAACCUACCCCACUAACAAAAAAGUCUAUAUGAAAAUUACAGUACUUCAUUUGGGAACAUAUAUUUGAUUUUAACAAAUGCUAUGUAGAAAAGUUGAGAAACACAGCUGAUCUACAAAUGCCCAUCAUUUGUCUUGUAACUUUGGUAACAAUUGUAGUUAGUGUAGAUGUAUACCUGCCUUAUUGGACAAACAAGCAAGAAAAACAAAAUUGUAGAGAUCGAUUAAAGGAAUAAUAAAACAAAAAAUGCCUAACAAAAUCAGGCACCAGUCUAUCACGCAAUGCCAAGAAGACAAGUAAACACUAAAUUAUACAUAAGGCUAAAGAGAAAUUAAAAUACUCCUGUUCAGAAGUUUCAGAUGAUCUAGAUCAUUGUUCCCCCUCAAAAGAUUCCUGUUGAAAAGAACAUAAUGAGAAGUUCAAAAGGGAAAAAAAAGAAAAAUAAAGAAACGGUUCCAGAUUUGACUUGUUAAGGCAUAACCAAACCUCCACAGCCUCUGACCCACCAUGGUGAUUGAUGCAUUGUUUCAUGGAAGCUACAUUAUCAUCUAACUCCUGCAAAGAACCAAACUAAGAGUUGAAACUCAUGAAUCACUUAUUAAAUGAUGACGCUAAGGAUGGAAAGAUAGUGUAUCUUGGUCCAACCUUUAGAGCUUCCAAACCACCACAAUGGGCAACUCGCUGCUUCUUGACACAGUCAUUGUCACAAGGAAUCAAGAAUGACUGGGUCGCACUCCGCUUCUGUUUCAUCCCCCACUGCUCGCUGUAAUCACAGUCACCCGUCAAAAGCAGGAUAGCACUCGAGCAACAAGAUUACUCUAGUGGCUAGCAGCAACUUUCCAGAAAGACGCGGCCGGGCAGUGCCGCUGGUGCCCAGCUAGCAGUUGAGUACGUCGUCAGCCGGGCGAGCCAUGGAGAAGAAGACGGUGGUGCUGUAUCCGGGCGUCGGCGUCGGCCACCUCGCGCCGAUGCUCGAGCUGGCCAAGGCGUUCCUCCGCCACGGCGGAGACCAGGUCGACGUCGCCAUCGCGGUCUUCGAGCCGCCCGUCUACGCCAACGGCUUCGCCUCCACGGUCGCGCGCGCCAAGGCCUCCAACGCCUCUGUCGCCUUGCACGUGCUUUCCCCGCCACCGCCGCCGCCGGCGGCCUCCAACGACGCCGAGCCUGAUGUCCCCUUGGCCCGGAUGCUCCGCUUCCUCCGCGCCACGAAUGCGCCGCUCCGCGACUUCCUUCGCGCGCUGUCGUCGUCGUCGUCGUCGUCGCGCUGCGUCCAGGCAAUCGUCCUCGACAUGUUCUGCGCCGACGCGCUCGACGUCGCCGCCGAGCUUGGCCUGCCCGCCUACUUCUUCUUCCCCUCGGGCACCGCCGGCCUCGCCUGCUUCCUCGGCCUCCCCGCCAUGCGCGCCAGAGUGGGCACCAGCUUCGCGGCGCUCGGGAACUCCGCCGUCCUGUCGUUCCCGGGCGCUCCUCCGUUCACGGUUGCGGACCUGGCGCAGGGGCUGGCGGACGACGGCGAGGCGUGCAAGGGCAUCAUCGGCGUGGCUGCCCGGAUGCCGGAAGCCCGCGGCAUCCUCAUCAACUCCUUCGAGUCGCUGGAGCCGCGUGCGAUGUGGGCGCUCAGGGACGGGCUGUGCGUGCCGGACCGCCCCACGCCGCCGGUCUACUGCGUCGGGCCAAGAAUGGGACAAGAAGUCCGCCGUGCUCCUCUUGAGAUCAAAGUCUGCCCCGUCACCUACCACCGCCACCACCAGAGCCGAGGAACCGACAUCGACAUCCAUUGCGGCCGAGAGGCUCCGCCUGGCGCCCGGGUCCCCCCCGCAUGGCGACCUCACGGGGAGCACCGAUGCCGCCGCCGCGGCACGGGUGGAAAGCGAACGGGCGAGGUAGCCCUCUAGGGACCCCUUGGCGCCGCCGGGGCUCUCAUGCUGCGUCUCGGGUCGCGGCGACUCGUCCUUGCGCGACGAGGGCCUCCGCUUCUUGGCCGGGAAGAACUACGGUGAGCCGGAUCGCGGGGAGAAUUAGCGCUUGAGGCCAGCCCGACGCGGUCCUCCAAAGAGUAGAGAUGUGAUGUAAGGUCGUGAUCAUACUUCUAAUCUAGGCCGUCUAAUCUGUAUGACAUGUGUUGUGAGUCGUUGAUCUUGUUGGUGGGAUUUGUCUGGAGAAGAUUUCAAUUAUAGUAGAGAUGACUUUUUAGAUAAUAAGUAUAAACAAGCCGGUCCUUUUGAGCACGCGGACGCGAGCCGCCUCCACCGGCCAAUACAAAGCGGCAGUUCGGUUGUCAUUUGCCCGCGUUCGGUGCUCCUCUACAGUCUACACUGCCAACACGUUUUUUUUUUUUUGCUUGUUUUUGUUUUUUUGUAACUCCAGCGUGCGCCGCUAGACGCUCAUCCAAACAUACACGCAACGACGCCCCCGGUGUGCCGUGCUGCAAUGUGCGUAGAUCAUGUCUAAAUUAAAAAAAAUGCGUCAGCGACGCUUAGCUAUUGAUGUGCUACUAUACACCAGCAUAACGUUCUGUUCAGGCGUGUCAUUGCGUUCAGAGAGGUCGCCUGUGAAUGCAAGUCCAAAUAAUUCAGAGCUAGGGCGAUGACGAACGGACAGGCCGGGAUAUGCACUGCACUGCACUGCACGGCCACGAGGCCGUUGGCCGCGCGUGCAUGUGCAUGUGCAUCUGCAUGCAUCAUCCCUGGGUUUGGCCGCCGCGACAGGGACAAGGAACUGGAUUUGCUGGAGAAGAAAGUGCCGUACACGGACCUGAAAUCAUGAACAACGAUUGGGCGGAUGACAGCAGCGAGCAGAGCAACCCAAGGGCCACGCGCUGUGAGCUUCGGUUAGGUCACAGCAGAUACAGGACCGUCGUCGCCCUGAUUCUGAUUACAGCAGGGCUCCAAGACAGAUAGGCCCUAACGUCGGAACUGUGCUCGUGGUCGAUGGUUCACGGGUAGCUAGCGUGGCCCGUGCACGGCGGCGCAUUGCGGACGGACGCGACGAUAGCUGAGCAGUUUCUGCCGUCCUACGCGAUGCCUCUCUCUUGCGACGUCGUUAUCGGUUUGUUCCAUCGUAGUAUGUCCACAAGCAGCACCUGCACCAAACCGAAGCUCACAGGCCCAACAGUGCACCCGUGCUGCUGCUGCACCCUGCAUACUGUACGUACAGAGCUGCAGCACCGUGCCCCCGCAGCGGCGCAACUGCCAUCUCCCGACACGAUCGAGUGCGCGCGCGAGUGGCAAAUCUCUGCAGAGAGAAGAACGUUCCUCGGUGGGCGCGCGAGAAUCCAGAAAAGGCCCACGGAUAUCGAUCGAUAGAUAGAUAGAUGGAUGGAUACGGCCAUCGGCAAGGCACCGGCGGCGCGAGGGAAUCCGCUGCGAAGACGACGGCCGGGGUCCGGUCACCGAUGGCGGUGGCCCGCCACCGAAGCUCCCCCCGCGCAUCACACGGCCCAUUCGCCGCCUUUCUCCUUGGCUCGCGGCGCACGGCCGGCCAUAUGCAUCCAGGCGGCGCGGCGGGCGCCACGGUGGGCCGACCGAGAUCGGGUACGUCAAGACGUGGCGCCGCAGCACCUCUCCGGCCGUGACGUACCCGUGCCAGAGCCGAGCCGAAACCUUGGGCCGUCGCGUACUCGCGUCGCGUGCGCGCGCGCCCCGGGAUCAGCACGUCGUCCAGCUGCAUGCGUGCCAGUGCUGCGCCGGCUGGCCUUGCCUUGUCCUUGCGUUUGCGUGCCCCACUGGUCAACCCGGCCGGGCGGCAUACAGGCAGGCAGGCAGGCGCCAGCCCCUACAUUGAUCGCCCGCCGGAAAACGACUUCACCCGCCACAACUGCGCUAUCACCUCUGCCUAGCCGUAAAGUUGACAAAAAAAAAAAAACAAAAACUUUUCAAGAUUACCUGUCACAUCAAAUCUUGCGACACGUACAUAAAGUAUUAAAUACAGAUGAAAAUAAAAAUUAAUUAUACAGUUUGCCUAUAAAUUAUGAGGUGAAUCUUUUAAACCUAAUUAGUCUAUAAUUGGGUAAUAUUUGUAAAAUAAAAAUAAAAAUGCUACCGUAUCAAAAAAAAUCAGAACUAAGACCUUGUUUAAAAAAACUAAUUACAUAGUUUGUCCAUAAAUCGCGAGAUAAAUCUUUUGAAACUAGUUAAUCCAUGAUUGGAUAAUAAUUGCCAAAUAAAAACGAAAAUACGAUAGUACAAAUAAAAAAAUUUAGAAACUAAACAAAGCCUAAUCUCUCUUUCCAACUCUAGUGUUGUAUCUUCUUCGUGCUAGUGCUUACUCUAUAAGUUCGCCAGCUAAAAACUUUUAACUUAUCUCAUCAAAUCUUUGGACAUUUACAUAACAUUAAAUUAAAUAUAGAUAAAAAAACUAAUUACACAGUUUAGUUAUAAAAUCAUGAGACGAAUCUUUUGAGCUUAUAACAAAUUAGCAAAUAAUAUUUUUCAGUUAUUGCUUUUUUUAAGCUUACAAUAAAUCAGUAAAGAGUACUUUCAGCUGUUGCUUUUUUGACAAGCGACUAUUACUUUCACAGUCUUUCCCUCUUACAACGAAUCAGUGUUUUAUUUCUACUUGGACGAAGAGAACUCCAAGAACAUAUGUCUGCUAUUGUUUUCAUUAGGAGGGAAUAUGUGAAUGAAUAGAAAAGAGCAUAUGUCACCCGUAUGAACUUGCUUUGAGCCAUACAGGGUACGUGCGUGACUGCGUGCCAUCCAGGCGCGCACAUGCAUUCGCGCAGCCUCACCGCGCACGUCGUACUCCGACGCUACGUCACGGCUCUCUCCUCUCUCGGCGGGACGCCGGGAAGGAAGUUCACGUGCCGCCGUCGUCUCCGGAAACCCCCCAACCCCAGUGCGGCUAGCUCACAUGCGCGCGUACGCCGCCGAGAGAGACCGACGACGCCAGGCGUGUACUCGAUCGCGUCUUCCUCCUCUGCGGCCCACGGUCCACCGCUGCACGGCACCGUGCAUGGCGGCUGGUAUUCGCACAUGAAAACGUUGCCAUCGCGCGCGUCGUGUUCGCAAGCCAGAGUUCGGUACGUGGAUCUGUUGGCAGACCUUCUCGAUCGCCACAUGGGAGCCGGGAGCGCCGUGCUCUUCUGGAUCCGACGCCCCUAGCUGCAUGGCGAGGCGACGACGCACAGGGUCGCCAUCCGCCAAAGCCGUUGUGGGCUCGUGGCCGGCGCUGCUGUCCGUGGCUGUGAGCGGGUGUGAGCUGGGAGCGUGUAAUCAUCAUCGUCGACCGGUUCGGUAACUCAAUCAAUCAUGGGUCGCCGGUCGGACUUUGCCGUUGAAGCUACGUCAGUGCGGAUUACCAUCACGGUGCCGCGGGCGCUUUGUUAGUUUUUUUAUCUAUCUUUUGUACUGUCAGACACGCUUACCGAUAAGAUAAUCGCGGUCGGACAACCGUGAUCGAGCUCCUGCCGGCAACCAAGCAAUCAUCUUCGGCGUUUACCUGUUCUGGGUCGGCAAGCAACACCUGCAGCUGUUUUUCCCGUUCCUGUCAGUGUCAGGCUUUUGCAAAGCGGAUACGUUUCUGCUUCUGUGUCCGGACCACUCACGGGCCUCGAAAGCUCACACGUGUUGCUACGGAAUGUGGAUGAGUCAUCUGCUCUUUUUGCAUCAGACUGGGCGGCCAACGUAGCAAGCAUGAAUGAUUGAUGAAGCACAUUCCUGCGAGACCGUAGCAUGAAACGAAAAUAACCGCACAGAAAUGAUGGUUUGGAAAGGGAAGCGGAUGUAUACUUCUGCCUUGGCGCUGAAGGUGUAUUAUGGCUUUGACACUUUGGGAGGUUUGUUGAGUUCACACGCGCGUGCAGGAAUCUUUUUCAUUCGGAGAUCCGAGACAAGUCGAACCGAUGUGUCUGAACCUGAUACGACCAUGAUGCUCAUCGACCUCCUCGCAGGUCGCAAGUAGUAGGGUACAGUACAGUCACAGAUCAUGCCAUCGUGGAGCACAAUUCCACAAGACGAUGAACCACUCGUGUGUUGGUAAAAGCUUGCCGCUCGUUAAGCACCAACCACAGGCCCAACGUUCGAAUCAGACAGGAACAGGGAUGAUUGAAACAUUAAGCUGAAUUUUUUAUAUCGUUUGUCGUGGUUACUUAGCGCUGGAGAUCAUCGGGCUAGUGCAGGGCCCUGCGCUGCGCUUUCUCCCCACUUGGAAACGCUUGUGUGUCGGUGUGUGCCUCUCCCUUUCUUCCUACUCCUACAUUCCAAGCACUAACCUUUUUUUUUCCAGUAGUAAGGCCUUGUUUAGUUUGAGAAAAUUUUUGGAUCUUGCUACUGUAGCACUUUCGUUUGUUUGUGUCAAAUAUUAUCCAAUCAUAGACUAACUAGGAUCAAAAGAUUCAUCUCGCGAUUUACAGGUAAACUGCGUAAUUAAUUUUUGUUUUCGUCUAUAUUUCAUGCUUCAUGCAUGUGCCGCAAGAUACGAUGUGAUAGGGAAUCUUGAAAAUUUUUGAAAACUGAACAAGGCCUAAGCAUUUGUGGCCUGCAGCUGCAGGGCCCAGGGGGUUCCGUGUUAACAACCUCUCCACGAAGAGUAACGAUAGAUCGCCGGCCAGAGAGGUCCGGUUACAAGAGAGGAACACAAGUUCCGUAUCUGGUUUUUUACAUGAAUGAUGAUGUUUCCCCCAGACUCUCCCUCUCCUUAUCUACUCCUCACUGGACGGCACGCAUCGCACGCAAGCCCACUCUGGGCCGGCCAGCCUGAUGUUCUUGGGCCUGGCCCGACUUCCCCUCCUGGGCCUCAGUACUUCUGGAGACGAUAACAGAUGAGGGGUGAUGACAUCCCCCCCUCCUUGGGUACCGGCAUGUCCCCAUGCCGGAGCAGCCGGAAAACGUUGGCGAAGGGCCUCUUCAUCUUCCCAAGUGGCGAGGGUGGAGUCGAGGCCGGACCACUUGACGAAGACCUGGGGAACGAUGUCGAUGUCGCGACGGUGAACACGGUGCUGCAGGAUAGCCUCCGGAAACUGCAGGUCGUCGUCGACAUCCGGAAGUUGGCUGGAGACGGGAUGUUUUGUCGAGGACGCCGGCUUGAGGAGGGAGACAUGGAACACCGGAUGUACGGAAGAAGAAGCCGGCAACUCCAGUUUGUAGGCGACCUGCCCAACACGUGCCAGCACCUUGUACGGGCCGAAGUAGCGGAAGGAGAGCUUCUGGUGGGCCCGCGGCGCGAGCGACGCCUGUACAUAAGGCUGGAGCUUGAGGAAGACGAAGUCGCCAACCGAGAAGGAGCGUUCUGAACGACGCUUAUCCGCCUGCGACUUCAUUCUCUGUUGGGCACGGUGCAGAUGGUGUCGGACAGACGCCUCCAUAGUUGCACGCUCGGACAGCAUUGUUUCCACAUCAACAACAGGUGAGGCAGUCGAGGCGGAAAUCCCAAAAUGGCGAGGAGGGUGGCCAUACAAUACCUCGAACGGAGUCCGGCGAAGGGAGGAGUGGUAGCUCGUGUUGUACCAAUAUUCGGCCAGAGGAAUCCAUUUUAACCAUUGUCGCGGGCAAGAGUGUACAAAGCAGCGGAGGUAAGUUUCCAAGCAUUGAUUGACGCGUUCGGUCUGGCCAUCAGACUGAGGAUGAUAUGCCGAACUCAUACAAAGCUGAGUCUGUGCCAGUUUGAAGAGUUCGCUCCAGAACUUGCUGGUGAAUACCCGAUCUCUGUCAGAAACAAUAUGAGUGGGCAAGCCAUGAAGGCGGUACACCGAAUCAAGGAACACCUGAGCAACUUGUUGGGCAGAAAAGGGGUGCGACAGAGGGAUGAAAUGAGCAAAUUUGCUGAAUCUAUCAACAACCACCAGUAAGCAAUUGGCAGCACCAGAGCGAGGCAGCCCUUCGAUGAAAUCCAUAGAAAUCAUCUGCCAAGAUUCAGUGGGAACCGGCAGCGGAGACAGAAGUCCUGGGUAUCGUGCCCGAUCCGGCUUUGCUUGAGCACAAGUGGUACAGGAAGCUACAAACUGCUUGACUGCUGAUUUCAUACCGCGCCAGGCGAAUAAUUUUUUGAGGCGACUGAAGGUGACAGGGAAACCAGAAUGUCCGCCCAGGGCACUGCUGUGGAACGCGGCCAUAACACGUUGCUGAAGCCCCGGAUUAUUCCCCAGCCAUAUGCGACCUUUCACUCGAAGAAUACCGUCAACCAGAGAAAAGGGUGGGUGAGCAUCAGGUGUUACCGCGAGCUCCUGAAGAAGUUUCUGUGCUGACUGGUCAUCAUUGUACCCACUGAUCACCUCCAGCAACCAGGAUGGUUGGGAAGACGAAAGUGCGUUGAGGCGGGCUGGUGGAUCAGGAUGGCGAGAGAGAGCGUCAGCAGCCAGGUUAGAAGUACCGGGUUUGUACACGAUGCGGUACUGCAGGCCCACUAAUUUGGUGUACAACUUCAACUGCCAUGGAGUAUGUAGCCGCUGGUCUGUAACAUGCAUGAGACUCCUCUGAUCCGUGAAUAUGACAAACUCACCAUGCUGCAAGUAAGAGCGCCACUGCUCGAGAGCCACCAGUAUAGCCAAGUAUUCCUUCUCAUAAGUGGACAUGCCACGAGUGCGAGGACCCAGCGCCUUGCUGAUGAAAGCAAGUGGGUGCCCAUCUUGAAGCAGAACGGCGCCCACGCCGGCUUCACUAGCAUCAGUUUGAAUCAUGAAUUGUUUGGAGAAAUCCGGUAGGGCGAGCACGGGGGCAGACACCAGAGCUUGCUGUAACGUGGUGAAAGCUGUAGAGUGGUCAACUGUCCAGACAAACAAGGUACCUUUCUUCAGCAGAUCAGUAAGGGGGCGAGCGAUGAUGGCAAAAUGUUGCACAAACUUGCGAUAAUACCCUGCGAGACCCAGGAAGCUGCGUAGUUGCUUGACGUCUGCAGGCACUGGCCACGCUCGGAUGGCCUCUAUUUUGGAGGGAUCAGUAGCCACGCCCUGUCCGCUAACCACAUGGCCGAGGUAAGAAAUACGCUGUUGGGCAAACUUGCACUUAGAAAGCUUCGGCUGCCACUGAUCCUGAGAGAGCAGAGAGAACACUUGGCGGAGGUGUUCGAGAUGUUCCUCAAAGGUACGGCUGUAAAUAAGGAUGUCAUCGAAGAACACCAACGCACAUAUGCGCAGCACCGGACGUAGGGUCGAAUUCAUGGCCCCUUGAAAUGUAUUCGGAGCCCCCGUGAGACCAAAGGCCAUGACAUUGAACUCAAAAUGCCCCCAAUGGGUUUGAAAUGCGGUUUUGAACUCCUCGCCAGGCGCCAGCCGGAUCUGGUUAAACCCCGCCCGGAGGUCAAGAGUAGAAAACCAAGAGGCCCCAGACAGUUCAUCCAAUAGUUCAUCGAUUACGGGAAUAGGGAAUUUGCUUUUAAGUGUCAACGCAUUCAGCAUCCUGUAAUCGACGCAGAACCGCCAAGUGUUGUCCUUCUUGCGUACCAGCAACACCGGGGAAGAGAAAGGACUGGUACUGGGGCGAAUUAAGCCCUGCUGCAGCAUCUCUGACACCUGUUUCUCAAUCUCUGUUUUCAGGGCAGGGGCGUAACGGUAGGGGCGCACAGAAACAGGUUGGGCGCCCGGCACCAGAGGAAUGGUAUGGUCGCAGGGACGCCUACGCGGCAGCGCAGUGGGCCCUGUAAACAGGUGGGAGAACUCAUCGAGCAACAGUUGCAACUGAGGAUGUCGUGGCUCGACAUCCGGUGCAGGUACUUCCGAAGUGAUGCUGUAGAGUUUGAGCACCGAGCAAGAACUGUCCGGCAGUAUGCCCUGUAAGGAGAUAUGAGUUGAUCCAUAGGGAAUGAGCAUCCAUUUGGCUUGCCAAUCAAUCUUCAUGGGUGAAAAGGCCUGUAACCAGUCCAUGCCGACAAUCAUAUCAUAGGAGCCAAUAUCAAGGACUUUCAACGUGGAGUGGAACUUGUGCUGCUGGACUGACCAUUCCGCCAUAGGUAUUUCAGUGUCACAGGUAAUUCGGACGCCAUUGGCGACUUGGACAGAAACUGGCUUCUGAAGGGGUCGCAGGCCUGACAAGUGCUGAGCCACAGAUGAACUGAUGAAAGAAUGGGUACUGCCCGAAUCCACAAGUAUGGUAACAGCCUGACCACCAAUAGUGCCCUGCAACUGUAGAGAUUGAGCAGUGGAAUGUUCCGAAGAGGAUGCAGAAGCAAGUACCAUGAACAGCUGGGAAGGACUCUCCAAAUCAUCAACAGGUUGGGAUUCACAGUCAUCAAACUCAUCCUGACAGAGGUUCCACACUUCCUGCAAAGCAUGUAACUGCAACACUGGAGCACACUUAUGACCAGGAUGCCAUUUCUCUGCACAGGGGAUGCACAACCCUCGGGCCCGGCGGUAGGAGCGAAGAGACUGCAGACGCUCAUCCAUCGGCGGGCGACCUGGUGGACGUUUGUCAUCCGAAGCCUUCCUGACCUCCGCAGGCUGAGAGACACCCGGCUUAGGCGGAGGAGGAGGAAGCCCCGCAGUCUUGGCAGCCGGAGGCUUGAACGAGGGAAAGCCAUCAUUCUUCUUAAUGUCCUUGUGUUGACCCAGAUCCGCCGCCUCUUCCUGCAACAAGGCCAAAGUGCAGGCAGCAUCCAAUGUUUGCGGACGUUGAACAAGAAGAACUGCACGAAUAUCAUCAUGAAGACCAUCCACGAAAUGUGUAAUGUAAGAGAGAAGGUCCGGGUUGGUCGUGUAGGCUGAAAGGUUUUCAAUGAGGGCUAUGAAUUGAUCCACAUAUUCCUGAACGGAACCAGUCUGUUUGAUGUGGAAGAGUUGGCGGAGAAGAAGCUCAUGCUGAUCACGGCUAAAGCGCUCAUGAAUCAGCCGACAAAACUUGGCCCAAUCUACCGCAGGAAGCUGGCGCUCUAUGGAUUGGAGCCAGCGCUUGGCGGCACCAGUAAAUUGCAUUGUGGCACAUUUGAUCCAGACUGACUGAUCGACACAAUACAUCUCAAAGUAGUUUUGGGCUUGGGUUAUCCACAAUUGGGGGUUGUCACCGUCGAAUUUAGGAAAAGGCAUUUUGGGUAAUUGGCCCAUGGGUGGGUGGUGGUGGGAGGGAAAUUCGUAGGCUGGUGGAGGCAGCGGGUGGGAUUGAGGUGGAGGGUAAAUUGGUACGGAAUUGGAGUGAAGUGGGUGAGGAUUUGGGGAAUUGGGUGUGGCGUUCGGCUGUGUAAGGGAUGGAAUAGGGGGAUGAAGAGGCGGAUGGUACAAAUGAACUGGAACUGAAUUAGGGGAUGAAUACGUACCAUUGGCCGGGUUUGGAGCUACGGUCGUCACCGAUCCGUAGCCCCUCUCCCGUGUAGUCAUCUCAACGCGGCCCGUUGGGCCAGUCGACCGUGGCUCCGCCAGAGUACGCGGCGGCGGCCGACUCACGGUGCUUCGGCAGCGGAUGUCGCUGCGGAUGCACCUCCAGUUCCCUGGAGAAGCGCCGGAGGUCGAAGCGAAGAUCAUCGACGUGGCCCUCGAUCUCUUGCCGCCAGGACUGCAGAACCCCGACCGCUCCCUCCAGAUCCUCCACCCUGUCAUCACGCUCGUCGUGGAUCUCAGCCAGCCGGAUCAAUUCGAGAGCCCCCAUCCGCUGGUCCAGCUCUUCCAGCCGAACUUCGAAAUGGGAACCCCAGUUGUCGGCGACCGCGGCGGCGGUGUACUGAGCAGACACGAGACCCUCCAACGAGGUGAGUCGGGAGUCGACGGCGACCUCGCGCUCCCGGAGGGAAGCCUCCGCGUCAUCGACUCGCUUCUCCAAGCGCCCCCAGCGCUCGGCGGAACGAGCAUCGUAGUUGUCCAUCUUCUUCAGCAAUUCCUCGAGCGCCUUGGAGACGACCGGAUCCAUGGCUCCCCUUGCCCUCUGGAAUCGGGUGAAGUGCUCGUGGGUGGGUGCCGAAGGAUCCAGGGUUCGCCGGUGCCCCGGCUCGACGGCUUUGAUACCAGAUUGUUAACAACCUCUCCACGAAGAGUAACGAUAGAUCGCCGGCUAGAGAGGUCCGGUUACAAGAGAGGAACACAAGUUCCGUAUCUGGUUUUUUUACAUGAAUGAUGAUGUUUCCCCCAGACUCUCCCUCUCCUUAUCUACUCCUCACUAGACGGCACGCAUCGCACGCAAGCCCACUCUGGGCCGGCCAGCCUGAUGUUCUUGGGCCUGGCCCGACUUCCCCUCCUGGGCCUCAGUACUUCUGGAGACGAUAACAGAUGAGGGGUGAUGACAUUCCGGUUCCAGACGCGGCAAUCCAGCACGCGUAGGACGGUAGGAGGCGACCGGCCUAAUUUACAACCGACCUAAGCUCGUAAGGACACAGCAAGUGGAAGGGGCGAAGGGGAAAGGGACAAGGGCGAUCCAGCACGCGUAGGACCAAUCCUUUCCUGUCCAAGUUCGAACUGACUCAGAAACGUGGAAGAAGAGGAAGAAGCAUGGGCAUCUGGUCAUUUGCGAUGGCUUGCUUCUCCGUCGUCCUAACACACGGGGCAGAUUCAGUUACCAAGUACUCCUACAGAACAGUGACCAACCGGAACCUCCAGAGCUGCUGAUUUUUUGGCAGCGGUAGGCACACAUUGCGAUCCUUCCUGCCGCUGUGAUUGUACAGGAUUGCAUACGAGUACACCGUUUCCAUUUCCAAAAGGACAACGAUACACGCAUCCAGGCAUCGUGCAUCGAUGUCCUAACUCCGGAAUAGAAAGCCGGUUUAUUCCGCAGUUAAAGCGAGAAAGAUAGUACCCUCCCCUGCUCUGAAGAAUUCUCGAACGUCAUCUCCAUUCCAUGCCCUCUUUCGGCAGCACCACCACGGACACGGAUUAUGCCUUGCGUUCGCGCCCGGCCCGGAGCGGCGGUUAGCAAGCAUCAUCGGAAGCCCUCAGAAAACGGCAAAAAUGAGCAGAAAAGAAAGAAAGAAAGAAAGAAAACGUCGCUUUGCUUCGUGUUGAGCCACAACGGGCGCUUUUGGUAGUGGAAACAUUAAAGAAAACCCCGGCAAUCUUUCGGGAAUAUUAUAUCCGCGCAAACAAAACAAAAAGAGAGCGCGGCGCGCGCGCUCCUUCCUUUUGACUCUCCGCGGCUCGGCUGCCGCUUUGCUUCCUCGGCUCCCCGUCGCCAUCCAUCCUUGGGCGCUGGCCGUGGCCGCGGCCGCUAGCGCUCGCCACGACCACGAGCCUCUUCCUCUCCCGGCGCCUCGCGGGCCCAGCCCAUCGUCGCGGUCGCGCGCCCGCGCCGUGCUGUAUCUAGUAGUAGACGCGACGCGACGCGACGUCCCUGUAGCGUUGCCGAUGCAUGCAGCAACCAGCAUGCCAGCAGGGGUCAGGGGUGUGCACGGUGCACCCACAUGCCAUGUCCUGGGUUUUCUAUCUAUAAACCGCCGGCGACCUUCUCGCCGGAUGUACUCCCGUCUCGGACAGUGCUCGAAGGAAAACAAAAAAAACGUGACGAGUGCCGAGACGAGCUGAUUGAAUCUAUCAGUAUGGAGGAGAACUGGAUCUGGAGAUGCUUGCUGGUACUAGCUGCGACAGGCUACAGACUGCAGUGCGCGCAAGCUGCCGAGACGACAGGGGUCAAGGUUUUUAACGGUGCUGGCCGUAAUGUAGUUUAACGGAUUGGAGGCUGGUCAUGAGUGCGAGCAUGUACAUGGAUGUCUGUACACCUGCGUCUGUAAUUUAUUUGCUUAUUACGUGAGUACGUCGUCUCUCCACGUUUCUACACCUCUCUAGAACGAAGCGGAGGACGAAGCAGUGACAGUGAGAACUGAGAACGUGAGCGAGGAGCAGGGGAGGAGGAAGGCCAGCCCGGUGCUAGUUGGCCGCGCGCGCGCGUUUGUUUACCUCGGGAUGGGAUGGGAUGGGAUGGUAGUGUGCGUGUCCUCGGGAUGCUGAUAUUCCCCCGUGUCCGUCCGUCCCUCCCCAUCAUCGCAUCGCAAGUAACCUCCCCGUUUCGCUUGCUGCUUGUCAUCGUCUCCCCCGGCAAAGGCGGGCAAGCCCGCAGCCGCAGGGCCAAGCCGUGAGCAAGCUCGAUCACCUCGUGCCGAGGCCCAGCUAGCUCAUCUAUAUAAGCGCCAGCCUCUCUCUCCUCACUUAAAGCAAGCACCCAGUGUUAGCUCCACACGCGCACAGAGGACGGAAGGGGAGAGAGAGCAGCGAACGAGAGGAAGAGCAGCUGCGACGGCGGCGAGCGGGCAAUUAACGCCAGACAGAUAGGUGAGGUGGUAGUGGUAGUAGUAGUCUGGUAGAGGUAGAGAGAGAGAGAGAGAGAGAGAGAGAGAGGGGAGGUUAGCAAAGGUAUAAGCUGUGGGCUUCCGCAAUGAGGUCGAGGAGGUCGUCGCCUUCGUGGCGGCGGAGCGUGGUCGCCGCGGUCGUCAUAGCGUUGGCUGCGUCGUGGUCCGCGGCGGCGGCGGCGCAAGCGCAGCUGAGCCAGAGCUACUACGCUUCGACGUGCCCCAACGUGGAGACGCUGGUGCGCGGCGCCGUCACCCAGAAGCUGCAGGAGACCUUCAACGCGGCGCCGGGCACGCUCCGCCUCUUCUUCCACGACUGCUUUGUCAGGGUACGCGCGCUCCGGUCCAUUCCAUUUCAUAUCCGUCACUCACCAUAUGCGCAAGGAUCCAGUGGAUCGAUUGACGUGCCCCGUCCCUGCCUGACCCUUGUUCUUCUGGUUCAUUCCGAUUCCCAGGGCUGCGACGCGUCCGUGCUGCUGUCGGGCCCCGACGACGAGCACAGCGCGGGCGCCGACACGACGCUGUCACCGGACGCGCUGGACCUCGUCACCCGCGCCAAGGCCGCCGUCGACGCCGACCCCAAGUGCGCCUACAAGGUCUCCUGCGCCGACAUCCUCGCCCUCGCCGCCCGCGACGUCGUCUCCCAGGUACUCUACUUCUUCUUCUUCAGGCCUCCCAUCCAUCCAAGAUUCCAAGCUGCAGGCCGCAGCUACACACGCACGCCCCCAACUCCGGUAGAGAGAGAAUUCGUUGGCGCUGUCGUCUCUGUUCACGUCACUUUCGGCGCCACAGACGAACAGAGAGGAUGGGGGUGAUGGGAAAUGGAAACCCGGCGAGCCGUUUCGUUCCAGAAAAAGAAGUGGUUAUGCCACUUUGGUCGAUGGGGGAUUACUGGAUUAGCGACUCGGGGGGCUUACGUUACGCUUAAACCCUACGCCAUUAGCGCACCAUCGUAAUAAACUAGUAGUAAUUAAUCAACGAUGCUAGUAGUGUUUUGGAGUGGUUUCUUUCCGGCGCGCCUCGGGCUUGUCCGGGCGACAGCUAUGAUGAGGCUGACAUGUCCCGCGCGCUCAUGGCCGAGGCGAACGACUCCUCCGCCGCAGGCCACAGCGGCAGCCAACACUGACUCUGAGCUGUGCCGCAAUCAUCCCAGUCCGUCCGCGCGUGUCAUGUCCAGCCAGGCCCCCCUGUCGUCUUCCUCCCCUGCUUCUCCUGGAGCCGGAGCUGGAGAGUGGAGUUUGGAGAGGCGAGUUUAGGCUAGGAGUUUUAGUAUCAGCGCGAGCCAUUGAUCAAGUUUGAGCUGGCUGCAGAGUGCAGAGAGUAGGGGAUGGGGAUUCCAGAAAGAAAGAAAAAAGAAAAAAGAAAAAUUUGUGUCCGGUUUGGCGCUAAAAAAGGGGGGAUUGGGUUUCGGUGGUGUGGUCCUGCCGUGUCCUGGUACUGCACCCUGUCGGAAUUCUGCUGUCCCCGGCUCAUUCAUCACUCGGAGCAACAGCACGCGCGGUCCAGACUCCAGGGCAAGGGCAAGGGCAAGGGGCAAGGCAUGGCGCGAAGAGGAGAUGCGACGCCCGGCUUGGACGACGGGACCGAGCGCCGGCGUUACUGCUCCUCGCUGGCUCGCUGCUGCGUCAGCGCGUGCCCGUGCCUUUGAAUUCUUCUCUGACGCGAAAGCAGACACGGUUUGGCGGCGUAAAUGAGCCGGUACGGCGUCGACAGAUACGAGCGCCCGACACCUAAUCCGCCGGGCCGUGCAGUCCUGCAGUGCCUGGACGGACAGACCGGUGCACGUAUACACGGAGUAGGAGUAUUCCGUAUACACGGGCACGGCCAUCAGUUAUUGUGCCGAGCAACUCGGCCGAAGUUUCUGAUGCUCGGAGUCAUUUCUGGCGCACACACACACACGGCACGGACGUGUGCUGCUAGUACCGCGUCGGAGUACUUUACUACGUAGAGUAGUACUCCGUCGCAAGGCGCUGCAGCUCUUCGUGUACACGUACGCGUAGGCAAUAAUAAAAAAAAAAGAAUUUUUACUACAGCACUUACCGAUAUGGUUGGAAUUGGUGAUGCAGACGGGCGGGCCGUACUACCAGGUGGAGCUGGGGCGGCUGGACGGCAAGGUGGGCACUCGCGCCGUGGUGAAGCACAGCCUCCCCGGCGCCGGCUUCGACCUCGACCAGCUCAACAAGCUCUUCGCCGCCAACGGCCUCACGCAGACCGACAUGAUCGCCCUCUCAGGUACGUCCGGAGUCGAAAGCGGCGCCCCGACUGGUUCCGGUUUGGUUGGCCGGCAGCUGCAUGCGGUUGCGGUCGCGACGCCGGACGCGGCUCAUCAUUCCGCCUCCGCUCACUCCCUUUCCCUGCUGCUCGAUCACAUUUGCUGCUGCUGCUGCUCGUAGAAACGCAUGUCCUUUCCAGCCUGGCUCCGGGUGCGCCCGGUCCCUCCCUUCCCCAGCUUCCUCGCGCGCAGGGGCAGGGCAAGGGCAUGGUCCCGUGGAGGACUCCCCAUGGCUCGCUGUUGCUGCUACUCUCGUGACCACUGCACUGACGAGAUCACCACGCACAGUCACGUCACGGUCAUAGCACUAGCACUAGCAGUAAAAACCCUGCAACUGUCCACUGCCACAGUCAGCGACCACGGCUGGCGAUCCGCCGCUGACGCUGCCAGCUGCGAGCCACAGUGUCACUGAGCUGCAGCGCUGAUCCCGACUGAUCCAGCCAAACAAACGCAUGCAGGUGGGCACACGAUCGGCGUGACGCACUGCGACAAGUUCGUGCGGCGGCUGUACACGUUCAAGGGCGGCCGCAACAGCGCCGGCCCGCCGAUGAACCUCAACUUCCUGCGGCAGAUGCGGCAGACGUGCCCGCUCAACUACACCCCGUCGGCGUUCGCGAUGCUGGACGCCGUCACGCCGCGCAAGUUCGACAACGGCUACUACCAGACGCUGCAGCAGAUGAAGGGCCUGCUGGCCUCCGACCAGGUGCUCUUCGCCGACCGCCGGUCCCGCGCCACCGUCAACUACUUCGCCGCCAACCAGACGGCUUUCUUCGACGCCUUCGUCGCCGCCAUGGCUAAGCUCGGACGCGUCGGCGUCAAGACCGCCGCUGACGGCGAGAUCCGCCGCGUCUGCACCAAGGUCAACUAGCUCGCUGGUUAGCUCGUAAUACAUUGGGAGGGACAUUGGGUUGGGUAGUACCGUAGUUGGGGGUUGAGAAAGAAUGUUCAUGUCCAUCAGUAAAGGCCAUCCAUGAUCCAUCACAGUUCACAGUCACAGUCACAGUGUACUAGUAUAUUAAUUUGUUGAUCCGCCGAUUCUUUUCUUGAUUAUUAUUGUGUAGUAGCAGUAAUUGAAACCAUGUAACAACAAGAGGGAGCUCCAUACGUACAUCCUAGGAUAUUUUCAGUUCACGCCCUACCAUACUUACAUCCAUGUAAAUGAAUGAAUGCUACAGUUCGUCCAAGUACAUGCCAUUGCUUGCUUUUCUUUUGAGAGUUGCUGAUCAGUCACGAGAAACAUGAAUGAGGUUGAGCGAGUGUGACCCGCUCGCGUGUGUACAUUGUAUCCUAUGCUCAUGCUCAUGGCGGAUCCAGGCUGAUGACAGCCAGAACAUGUAUUGUCCAAGUCCUCAUAAAUACAGCCGGCAUGAGCUGUGUGUGUGUGCUAGCACGCAGUUCAGAGACCAUGUGAUGCUUUCAGUGGAUGGAGCAAGCUAGCAGAGAUUAGGGUAGCUGCUGACAAUGAAUAGUGUGAUCUAUGGUGCUGUUGAUGCCUGUUCUGAUGGAGAGGACAGCCUCUGUUUUUAGUGUUUGUCCUCUUGACAGGUUUCUAUCGUGAGAACAAAAAAUGGAACAACAAGGCAAUGGAAACGAGAAAAAAAAAAGGUGCCCAAACAUGUGAUUCGGUGACACGGAAUUGCUGAAACAUGCGGCCAGAAAACUCUGCUUUUCCACGUCAAGUACUGAACUUUCAAGCCGUUGGCUCGAAUUCGGAAUGCGUAACUUGAUGUGUUGGGCUGGCACAAUCGCAAGGUCCCUUUCUUGGUCAGAAACAGCCGCCGAAUUUGCUGUUUCCCAACCAACUGAAGUUAUUCUUCCUCCAAACAAACAAAAAAGAGAUGUUCUGGAGCUUACCAUCAAGGGACGCAUACCAGAAACCUGCAAUUUGCAGCAUGGGUAACCUUGAUCUUAUCUCUCUGACCAGCAUUAAUCUCGCUGACCCGUGUUAUUCACUGAAAUCUAUGCCUAACCAGUAACCAGUAAAUGUGCAUCGCAUGGCACAGUGGAGACCUCACAAUCAAGUUUAUGUCACUUUUCUGUUCAUGGUCACUGUAUUUCUCGCCCAUACUCUGAUGCUAGUCCUUUUCAUGUUCCUGCAAUGAAAAAUAUGCAUAGGAGUACAUCAGAGGGCGUCCUGCAUCUCAAAGAGGUACACUAUUGGUACGCAAUAACUGCUAUGGCCAAACCUUGCUGGUCAUUAAUAAAAUGAAAAAAAAGUAUAGAAUUUCUCCAUGGGAAUAUAUAUAUCUCCAAGAUUAGCAAUAUACAGUCUAUAUAGAACAUGAACAUUCAGAACGGUCCAACAGACCCUUGUACAAGUGCACACCAAUAUGAGUGUGAUAUAAGCAUUUCGGCGUGGCUAUUGAAUAUAGUUAUAUGAUGCCACAUACUAUGUUUAGUACCAACAACGAAACAUGUUCAGCUGGAGUGAUGGACACAAGUUCUAUGAAUCUAGCCAGACAUUUCAGGUGGCCUCAAACAUCAAUUCACAUCACCAUAAAUACUUGACCGUUUCAUUUUUAGUCAUAAUAAUAAAGAGCAUUAAAACCUAUACAAUCUCCUUUAUCUCAGACUGCAUGAAAAACUUCUUUUUGCUAAAUCUGUCUGCUUUAAGAAACUGAAUGUAGAAGAGAAUUGUGUGUGGAGUAAUGGCAGACAUGCUCUUAGUCUUAGCUCGGCUCCCCUACUAGCUCAAACAAUGAAAAUGAUAGCAACAAAGUCAACCACACAAGAAAAAUAAUAGUGCAGAAUAUGUGGUUCUGGAGUACAAUUCCUCCUGCCUGCCACACACUGCUGCUUUUCUAGGUUUACAUUAUUCAAGCCAGUGGCGUUCCUUUGGAAUGCAUUCCUUGCCUUAUUUGGUGAAAAUGGGCAGUCACUUUCUGAAGUUAAAAUCAGCUAUCGCAACUUAAAAUUAAACUGCUUAUCAUCCCAACUGAUUUAAGGGUGAACAAGUUUUCAGUCCAACACAGAAAUGCAGAACCAAUUUAAUUCAGGCAUUAAUAGAAUCCACAAAAUUCACUGUCCAGACUCGAGAUGAUCCAAGUAUCCAACCACGUAGAUUAUGGAAACAAUAUCAAGCUGCCAGAGCAUACAUCAAUACAUCAUGAUCAUUUUGACCUCAAGCUUAGGUUUAUCAGUUAAAACAGGAAGAGAAGUACAAGCACAAAUUCUAGCAAUUUUCUACACAUGUUUUUGCCGAGGUUGUGAAAAAAAGAUCACUUGACAUUCUUUUUAUAUAAAACACUUCUGGCCUUCUGGCGACUUGACCAAGAUAAAGUGCCAACAACAGGCAUCAUAGCACUGAAAAGUUGAAGCUACCAAACUGAGCUCCUAUUUUCCAUGCUACCCUAUUCGCUUGAGCUUAUCUGCUGAAUCUUUAUCUGCUUAAUCUGUCAGUGUCAGGCUGUCAGCAUUCAGCAGUGUUAUUCUCUCAUAACAAAUCAGCGAACAGUACUUUUAGCCACGACUUUUCAGCGAAGCUAACAGAAUGCCCCCAAAUUUAUCUGAAUGUCGCUCAUCUAGUGCACAUCCCCAUCCAGGCGUCCAGCACGGCAGCACCUAAUGGCAACAGGAUUUGGUGCAAGAAAAAGGACGACUUGUCAUUAACAUUUGUACUCAUGGACCCCUAAAGCAUCCCAAAGAAUCAACCCAGACGAUGUUGCUGCAACAUAUGGCAUGCAGGGACAGGCCGAUCAAUCUGAUAAUGGCCUGCUCUUUUUUGCAUAAAGCUACAAGCAAGUACCUGUCUCUCUGCUUCAGCUCGACUGUACCUGCUCAUGUGCUGAACUGAAAUGCUUCUAUUAACUUUCCUGAGCUCUCGUGGGGGCAAAUAUUGCAACCAAAGCACAUGACUAAAGAUUAGUUUGCUUUACUUUGUGACAUCGAUGUCCAUGCCAUGGUUACAUGAAGCCGUAAUAGGAAAAUGUCAUGAAAAUGUGGCUAAUUGGGUAUGAGCCGUGCUUUGUGUACUAAAAAUCUACAGGUACAUCUGAAAAGGACACUGGUGAACUUUAUGAAUCAUCACUUAUGACAGUGGAUAAUAUGAAGCUAAUGUAGGAGUACUCUGUACAGAAGAUCCUAAAAACAAGAUCUUAGAUAGUUGGAAUUUAUUGUGCUUUUUUUUUGAAUGAUAGCAUGUCUAGAUAAGACCAACCUGAAUGGCUGCAAACAUAUGAUAUCUGCCAUAAAUUGUCAUGAAAUAAUUGUUUGUUCCUCGAACUGUUCCUUGUCCUAAGAAAAGUAUCUUGAUAACUGUCCACUGUCCUAAGAACCAUGUCCAUUUAUUUUCUUAUUAUGAUUGGGGAAUAUAGGAGCAUAUUUGGAACAUUAUCAUGAAACAUUGAUAGGGACAAUUCUCCAGAUUCACAAUCUCAUAUAUACUAUACCUAAAUAGAGGAUUCCCCCUAGCAGAUUUUUCUACAAUUUUGCAAAGCCACGUCAUCACCCAGGAGCAUGACCACAAGUCGCUAAGCGCAGGCGUCUCUCCAUUUCACAGGUCACUAUGCAAUCUGUUCCUAUCUGACCCUUUCUCUUCUCUGCUUCCCCUUCCAUUUCACAGGAAAGUAUAAGUAUCUUUUUAGGGCAGCGUGUCUUGGCCAAUCUAAAAGUCGAAGUGGAUUUCUGAAAAGAAAAUAAAGGAAAAACACAGGCUAACAAAAAGAUGUAUGUAGACUAAAAUUCUAACACCAAUGAAUAGAAACACAGGAAUUCAGUCCUGACCGACCUAUAUAAAUCACUCGACAGAUAACUGUAGCUUUUUAUUUGUUAUAAACUAUCUGAAACAAACUGAAGAAGAAUCCAUCUCAAAUAACACGAGCCUUUAUCAUUGGGAAAAAUCAUAUAUUCACCAUGCCGCAUAUCAAAAUUCAAAUGCACAAACAAAUUUAUACAUCACAGCCAAAAGAAAAAAAAAAUGGUUGAAAAAUAUGUGGGUGAUGCAAUGUAUAAUGCAUUCUUGGGCCAUAGGGGUGUGGGUGAUGCAAUGAAUCAGCCCAACAACUAACUUGCACAAAAGAGGGAUGAUGAGCUCACCUGGAGGCUGGAGGCAUAUUUUUCCUUCUUCGUUGUCUUUCCAGUUCAUUUGUAGCCCACAGCGAGCUUGUGCUGUUGACUAGGAUGGACCCUGAAACGUGGUGGUGUAUAUUCUUCUAGAGCUGUUGCGAGUAAUCGAGUUAUGGAAACAGAGUACAGCACGGGAUGUGAUAGCUUUAGAAGAGGAAUGAUAAAACACAAGCUGCAGAUCACUUCAUCCGCUGCACUUACAUCUUCAAGUAUCAAUAACCUAGCAGUUGUGCAGUGCAUGAUCAUCAGUUAUGACAUACCCAGGUCAAACAGAAAGGAUCAAUGGAAACAUCUCCUUGUCCAUAAUGAUACUAAAAAAAGUAGGAAGACAAGAGGAGAUAGUCUGUCGCCAGCAGUUAGGACAAGCAAAGUGGAAAACAAGAAAAGUGCUGCACAGAACAUUUUCUCAGCAUCAGCAUCUAUAGAUUAGUUUGAGAGGACAUAUUUCUCCAUUCUAUUCAUCGCAAGUUACAGCACCUGUACAAUCCAUGAGAAUUUCUCCAGUAAAGCAGGAAUGUUUUUAAGCCAACACACUUCUCCAGUAAAGCAGGAAUGUUUUUUAUGCCAACAUACUUGGAUAAAUUAUGUAACUCAACAUCUCAAUCAAGGAGAACCAUUUCCUAUUUAUUAUCCGGAGAGAUUUCUCAAGGAGAACCCCAUUAUUUUCGAGUUUCUGACCAUACUACUGUCAAGCAGGGCUCAUAUUUCACAAGGGUGUGCUAAGAAGAUGAAAGAUGCAGUAACAAAAGAUUGCUGGGGUUCCAGGGAGAGAUAGAGGGUCUAUCAUAUCCACAGAUUGAGGUGAACUGCGUCAGCAUCAUUCUAAUCAUAAAUCCAUGCUAUUUACAAGUCUGAGCCAAGAUUCAUGCGUCUCCCUUGUUCAUCUCUGAAGGUAUAGCUGAAGCUUUGCAUAUUGGACACCAGUUCUUCUGUCUAAGCCAUUCGUGAAUACAGCACACAUGGUACUGAUGUUCACAUUGCAUUGUACCAAUCUCUUCACCUUCAAUGUAUUCCUCCUGGAACAUCAAGUCAGUGUCAGUCAGAAUGCAGGCUGCAGAACAAUAAUCAUCAGUGUCCAGGAGAUAGAAGUUUAUUUAAACAGGUAAUUGCUGGGAAUAUGACAUUUCAAAAGGCAAACAACAUGGAGAUACAUUGUUGGAACAGACACUACAGGUUUAAAAACGUGUAUGUUUGGUUGAGGGUGUUGAAAACCUGAAGCUAUGAGUUCUAUGUGCAACUUUCCACAAGACCACAACAUCAGUACACUUUUAUUUCCUUGGCUUGUGUGCACCCUUAGUAAUUCCAAUUCAUCACUACAUUGUCCCCCUUCCAGUUAGCCUAUGCCUUAUUCGUUUGUCAGGCAAGGCACUAAUGCAGUCCCUUUCUUUCCCCCACGAAAUGAGUUGAACAUAUGAAGCAUAUCAUCAAAAGUUAAAAUUACACUGCCAAUUCUUCCUCAGAAUUCAGAACAGUAAUUGAACAUUGAAAUACUGGAGUAAAAACAAUACCUGACAUAUGCUACAUUUCACAUCAUCUGCUGCAAUCUUGUUCACAUCUCUACCAGAAUUUCUUGCUUCAUACACACUUUGGUUUACACACUUGGCAAAUUGCUCUUCAGUAAGGGCAGUACUCACUGAGCCAAUAUGAUCUUCUAAAGCAAGUAGUUCCUGAACAAGAAAAAACAAAAGAGACAAAUUACAUAUCAAAGAACUAAACAUAAGCUUUUCCCAAGCCCCAAGGAUAUUUAAUUCGAACAAUAAUAAUGGAGCAAACAUGUUGAAAGUAAUACCUCAUAUGACAUAUUGUCGAUAUCCAAUCUCAAAUCUUCGUGCUGAUCGUGCAAAUCAAGGCCGCUUAAGAGCAGAUUAGUUUCUAGCACCAGCAGUUGCUGCCAUUUUUUUUAUUCAGAAUAUAUUUCAGUGCAAAAGUUUGGUAAAAGGAGAAAAAAAUGGACAUCAAGAUAAAAGGACAAACCUCAUAAGUCAAUUCAUCAUCAUGUUCAAUCCUAUCCAAUGCUAGCAAUGCCUACAUACAGAAAACAUGGCAAACAUCACAAUUACUACUUCGUCGGACAAAAAAUCAGUAUCCUUUAUAUUGUACGUAGCUCGAUCAAUUUCAUCGCAAAUGAUUUUUUUUAAAAAAAAAAACUUGACCGCUAUGGGAAGACCUCCCCGGAGGUAUUGCAUUAAGAAGAGAAGCUCAACACAGGAUUGAGAAAAGGGUCUGAAGGCCGGACAGCCCUGGAACACACUCAAAUUGGCAUAAUUCAGUUAGGGUCCUUUUGUUGUGAGACCCGGUGUUUGAACCCUGUUUCAUAACUGGAUGCCCUACAACCACACUACAGUGUGUUCACAUCAUAAAUGAAAAUUUAACAACUCAGAACAUGUAUUAAAUAAGUUAACAGAAACCAACCUGUGCAAUACCUUCCAUGCUUACGUGCCUGUAGCCGUCUCUCUCCCCAAACAUACCAUGGAACAUCCGUUGAGGGCUUUCCUCAGUACGAGACGUAGAUCUUCUCCUUGCUGUCUGACUACUUGAGCCUUGACGAUUAGAUGAAUAAAUAGCAUGAGGUAAUUCUGCAUAAAAGGGUCUUCCUAAUCUCUCUGGGGGAGCACCAUCUGUGUGAAAAUGACCACAUUCUGGAUGAACGCUUGCAACAGUCUCAUGCAGAGCAAAUACGCUGUCCUCUCUUUCACCUGGUAUCAUCCUCUCCCUGGCACGCAGAGUAAAAGGUCGUCUAGUCCUUAUCGAAUCUGUAGGAUCCUGAAUACUUCUGCUAUUGGUCCUUGCUAUUUGUUGAGAAGCUAAUUGUUCAACAGCUCUAGCUCUAGGACCAGUACUACCCGGAUAACUAGCACGUGGCUGACUUAAAUUAGAUUGUUCACUUAUUCCCCUUGAUCUUGAAGAACUUUCUGCAUCAGAAGUUCUCUUCUUUGUAACUUCGACCCUCCUAUCACGGACAGAAUCAGAUGAAGAACAUCCUGAAGGCAGAACAUCAGAUAUUGAAGUGCAACCAAGAUUUUUUAGACCACGUCUCUGUGCUCCAGUAAUGUUAGUGCUAGGGGCAGUUGAUGACUUGACACCAGUGGUAAAACUUUGAGGUAAAGUACGUCGACGAACAAAAGUGGAAGCACCUUGAUGACUACCUGAAUUCAAUUCUUCUUUAUCCUUUUGCCUAUGUGCCAUAGCACUCAAUGCAGUAUUUCUGGAAUUAACUGCAUGUGCAGAAUUCCCUGAAGAACCAGAAACAUCUAAAACUCCAAGAUCAUGCUCUUCUGGCAAGCUUUCUUCAGUAGUUGUUGAGGAUGAUGAAGCUUCUGAUGUACCCUUCUGCAUGUAUGGAUGCCCAUCGCCAAAUACAGAAGCUUUCUUGCCACGUUGUAGGCAUCUAACCUCGGUUCUUCUGUUACUGCUUUCAGCAAUGUCUGUCUCUGCCAAAAAGGGCCGUUUUUGUCUCUCAUCACAAUAUUUUCUAACAGGAGCUUUUGAAGAGCUUACAGAUGAGGCCCUGGAGCCUGAAGAAUGAAACGGCCCUUGAAAAUACCUUGGCUUCUCUUUAUUUUCAGUGAACCGUGAUUUUACAGGAUUGAGAUUUGAACUCUUCCCUGGCUGCUUGUUGUAUUGGCUUGGCCUAUCCUCGUUGCUUUGAUUUCUCAAGGAAAUGCCAGAACCUCUUCUAAGAAACCCAACUGGAGUAGUGGAUCUACAGGAGGAUUCGUCCAUACCAAAAUGCAGGAAAAUGAACAGUCCAGAAGACUUUUGCUAGAACUCUGCAGCACAAAUUUGGUAAUGGUUAGUGACAACGAAUAGGAAAAGGACGACAUGAAUAGACACAUGCAAGACAAACACAGAAAAUGAAGAAGCACAGCACAGUUCAGAAAAGUAAACGUAGAGAAGGCAAUGCUACCUACGGCUGGUUCAGAACAUCCACCGUCACACUAUGAGAGCUACAUUUACCAUUAUAACACGUGAUCCUACAUACUUAGCGCAUUGUAGCAAUAUAUAGUAAGCUCAGUAUCUUCCCAUAUCUGAUCUUCAUUCACCUUUAAGAGCAAAAGGUUAAAGGACAAAAUAAAGUUGUGUCCACAGCAAAAACGGACAAGGGAAGGUUACCCGUAUGCUAUAGUACCCCGGUGAUCAAAUUACCGCAUCAGUAUCAGACAAGGACCGAGAGGCCCAUACAAAUCACAGGUAGAUAGUGAUACCGUAUAGGCAGAACGAGAGCCAUUUCUUGGGACCACAUACUAACAAAUAAAACACUUGGCCCAUUGAUCAUGAUAGCGCGUGGAAACAUCAUUCGCCUAUCUAGCAUCCGAUGCUUUCAUGUUCCCAAAACAGUAACUUUUUUUUUUUAAAAAAAGAAAAAACUAGUCUCUGAAUGAACACCCACGGAUGCGUCGAAUGGAAAGACGUUGCGAUAUACUGUAUGGCACUACCUCUGAACAAUUGAAGAGGACGGUGACCACGAAAAUUCAUUCAGCAACUCUACCUCUGAACCCGCAACUGUACCUCUGAACUCUGAGACAUGGGUAUUAGUUCCGAUUUCCGGAGAGAAAACCUCCGGACAUCCAUCGACAAAUCAAACAAGUGCACCGGACUGAUGAUGUGAAUGAAAAGCGAAAAAAAAGAACAAAUAAAUCGCAACCCAGUACGCCAAUCCAAAAGUGCAACUAAACCACACCAAAUAGCAGCAGUACGCAACCAAGGUCUGUACGGCCUUUUGAUUCCAAAAUCCCCAAAUUCAAACAUACCGAACAAGGAAAUGAUCAGAGGAUUCCACCCCAACCUCUAGAACUCCUGUACUGCCUCCCCCACCUGGCCACCCCCACAUCAAAUCAAAGGCACCCUCCACCCAUCAUCGGCUCAUCGCCAUCGAUGCCCCCCGUACCUCGUGGAAACCGAAGCCGAAGUCGAAGCGGAAGCGGCGGCGGCGGCGGCGGCGGCGUCGUGCCUCCCUCCCCUCCUCGUCUCCUCGCGGAAAUGGAAUGGGAGCCAGAGAAGACGGCAAGCAAACGGAGGGGAUUUGGGCAGAUCCCAGGCGGAUUUAUUUAGCGGCGUUAGCGGGUCGGGUUCGCAGGGAGGGAGACGCGUGAUCUCUCAGAAGGUUAACGGGGGCGGCUCCGACUCGACGUGGCGGCGCUGACUGGGGCGCGGCGCGCACGCGUCGUCGUCGUGGACUCGCGAUUGGUGCGCCCGUGACCGCGGGGCGAGGCUCACGCGCACGCGGGCGCGGAUGGAUCGGAACCGUUAGGACUGCGCCGUGAUUCGUGCAGGACCUGGUUGUCCGGGUCGGCAAGGGACACGCCGCACACGGGUUAAACGCCUGCCGCUGCCGCCGGUCGGAAACUUCAGCGGCGCCGCUGUCUCUUCUACGUCCGAAGAAACGAAUCAGCGGAGCUAUCAAGCGAGGAUUUCUCUGUGGCUUAUCCGUUUGGAAUUUCAUUUUUGAAAGAUACUUCCUCUGAUUAUAAAGUGUGUUUUUAGGUUCGUUAAAAACAAUAUAAAAAAAGUGUGUUUCUAGAUUAUAAACUCACAAGCAUCUGUUUAGUUCUCCUUACUAAUAUUUGUUAGCUAAAAUUAUUUUAGCAAUUCUUGAGUGGCUAGUCGAACUAAAUUAAUAUUUUAAAUUUUUUUAAUCAGAGGCUAAAAUUUAACAAGGGGAACCAAAUCUUUAAAACUAAAAAUUAUGAAAAGGACUCAUCUACCACAUGUAUGGUGAAGCCACAACUCCCAUCCCUUUUAGCCAUGAUAGGUUAUCCCAUCAACCUAGGCCCCACUCACUCAUGCAUGCAAAAUUGUUUUAGCGAAUUUUAAAAAGUCAUAACUUUUAAACCGAAGAUAUAAAUUAAAUUCCGAUUGCACCAUUAAAUUUCUCAUAACAAAUCCUUCAAAACAAGAUCACACAUGGAUAUAUUUAGAUAAAAUUUUAUUAAUUAAUAUUUAUCUCUACAACUAAAAAUUAUGGAGAGGACUCAUCCACAACUUUCAUCCCUUUGGUGGUCUUUUUUACUGCACGAUGACACGUUAUCCCAUCAACCUAGGCCCCACUCACCUAUGCAUGCAAAAUUGUUUUAGAGAAUUAAAAAAAGUCAUAACUCCUAAACUAGAGAUAUAAAUUAAAUUCUGAUUGCACCAUUAAAUUUCUUAUAACAAAUCCUUCAAAACAAGAUCACACAUGGAUAUAUUUAGAUAAAAUUUUAUUAAUAAAUAUUUAUCUUAUAAAGAUAAAAUAUUCUCUUUUAUUAAGUAGAAACAACAUUCUAGAUUCAACAGACAAUGUUCUGUCUUUGUAAAAAAAUAUUAUCGAUUUAGAAGAAUAGUAUUUUGGUUUUAGGUUUAUGAAACUGAUAUUACAAUAUACAUAAAAAUACAUAAAUACAUGACAUAGAUAAAAAUAAUAAAAAAUCUAGAGUAAAAAGCAUAAGAAAAAAAACACAAAAUGGAGAAAAUUUUCAAAUAAUGUCAAAGGGUUACUUUUUAAAUAUCGUAAAUAUAUUUAUAGAAUAUUAACAUCAUUAUAUAUAUCAUAGAACAUCAUUAAAUAUAUUAUAGAACAUCACAUCUAUUAUAGAUUACAUGUAUACUAAGUGAACACCGUAAGAAACAUCAUAAAACAUCACAUAUAUAUUACGUAAACAUGGCAUAACACAAUAUAGAACACUAAAUAUAUACUACAUAAAUAUCACAUAUAUAUAGAAAAUAAAAAUAAAAAAUAAAAUUACUAAGAAAAAAAUAUAAAAAUAAACAUAAUUAACAAAUGAUAAAAAGUGCAUAGAGCAAAUAAAAUUAAUGAAUAAUUUAAAUAAGGAUAACAAUAAGAUUAAAAGGAAAUAAAAUAUAAAAGAAGAAUGAAGAAACAUAGAAAAUUUGAAAAGAAAAAAGAAAAACAAAUAGAAGCAAGGAAGAACAAUAAAAAUAAAACCAAAAGAAAAAGAAAAAUAAAAGGUAAAAUUAUAAGGAAAGGACAGAAAAUAAAAUAAAAUCGAAAAACAAAAACUGAAAAGAAAUGAAAAAGGAAGAAUAUAGACAGAAAAAAUAAAAUAACAAUGAAGAAACAUAGAGUAUGUGGAUUUUAAAACCCGUAACAACGUACGGGCAUUAACCUAGUCAUCUCUAAAUAGUUGUCUAUAAGAAAUAAAAAACAUAGUUGUCUAAGAAAAAGAUUGAGUUUAUAAUUGUGUUUUGAUGAACGAUGAUAGUACAAGUAGCUUUCUUGGCCAAUCCAUCGUUUUCCGUCCUUUUGGAGUGCCCUUACAUUCAUCCAUUCAUCAUUGUCCAUCUCUCAAAUUUUUUAGACGGCUCCAUCACAAAAGAUUCGAAAGCAAGAGUAGGAAAAGGAUGCCGGCCAUUUGGAGCUCGCUAUGCAUUAAUUAAAAACUGUCUCAAAAAACAGAGAGUAGCAUUUUUUUUUGUAAAUUAUAAGUUGUGUUGUUUUUUUACAUUGUUUUUGUUACAUAUACCAUAUAUAUACCUAAAUGUAUGGCAAAAAGCUCUACACUAAAAAGUUAAAAAUGAAAUAUAAUUUGAACGGAGUACUUUACUGGAAAACCAUCCUAGGUUCAAAAUUGAAUGGCUUUGGUAGAUGGUAGUUGAGAUUGUAAUAUGAAUCGCUCCCUCCUUUCCAAAUUGUAUAUCAUUUUGUCAUUCCUAAUUACAUAGUUUUUUUGUUAUAUAUUUAGAUAUAUAUUAUAUCUAAAUACAUAAUAAUAGAUAUGAAUUUUGAAAAAACUUUGAUGAAAUACACGUGUUCUAAAAAAAUCUAGAAAUAACUAAAAAGACUUACAAUUUAAAACAUGAAGAGUAUUUGUUGAAGUUUAAGAGUUGCAAAACAAAUCAAAGACUAUUAAUUAUUUCACAGUCGGUACAUGGUUAAAAACAGAGAGGCAUAAUGUCGUGAGUAUUGGCCAACUAAUAAUAAGGUGUGAAAUCCAUCUCACUGUUCAAUGUAGAUGGGAUAUAUUUCCUGUUAGUCUUGGAAUUAAAGAUAAGUAGGUAAGAGUUAACACGAGAUGAGCUGCAACUUCUUUCUCAAAUGAAAUAGAUGCAUGGCUUGUUCAAGUCCUAAUCUUGCCUCUAGAAUCUAUUAGACUCUGGUGACCAAUGCCUGUCAAAAUAAAAGAGACAGUUUUCAUGGUACGAACAUUGCCUUACUAUUGACCUCGCAAAAAAAAAAAGUUUGCUUGACAGUGUCUUUUUGUGAUUAUUUUGUCUACUUCAAGGGUGCUUAUAUUUGGUGAUUGCUGGUCUUGUGACCAGACCAAGUCCUUCUCUUUGCCAUUUUUGACCUAGGAGCCGGCACAACCCCAAGUACCAACUACCAACUGCAAAGGGGUGCUUAAACAACAUUGGCGGGCUCGAUUCGAUUAGAACCUUUUUCAGCUGUUGGAAUGACAGACUAACAUAUGCACAAGCUUCCUAAUCAAAACGUAUCAAUAGUGUUAAGUAGGCACCGAAAAGAUAGGGUUAGGUUUUUCCUUUAAAGAAAGAAACAGGGGUUAGGUUGAAAUGAACUUGAAACAACAGGCCUGGUGAACAUGAGUUGCUAUGGCAGUUGUUUAAAAAAGAAUCAUGGAUCGGAGUAGUUAGCUCAUGGACAAUACCGGGACAGGUGCCAGACCAAAUCAGCAACGGUACCCUGUUCUUAAUUCUCGACAAUUAUCUAGUACAUAUACAACAAACAAACAAGCAAAAGAAACAUACAGCCUCACAAAAGUGCAUGGAUCCACUUUGUAAUAAAGUAACGGACGGCGCCAAACGGGGGAGCUCCAUUCCACGCGUGUCUGCUGUACGCGCGUGCACUUGUUUGUUCUCUUGCUGCGUUUAUUCGGACAUACUACGUGUCAAACUGUUAAAUAAAAAAAAAUCGAAUAAUACAUCAAGAGAUAAAGAAAGACAGAGAAGCUUCAAUUGCGUGGCAACUAAACCGAGUGCCGGAUGAUGGCAUGCACUUUGUUAUAGUUGUAUAUAUGCAUAUGCAUAGUUAGUGGCUGCAACAUCGUCCUUGAUGAACCCUAACAUGCAUUUAACUAGGUUCUGUUUUCUUUAUGAUCCAUGCUCCCUUGCAUGCGUGACUGGAGAAUUUGUUCGAACUCUGCAAAAUCCUCCUCCUUCGGCGCCAAAGAAAGCUACCUGUCGCCUUGCCUCCCCCGUCUUUGUCAUAUCCUGUGGCGUAUUGCGCCUGCGUUUGUGCUUUCCUUUGGCGAAAGGCGGGCAUCUAGUGCUUGGUGGCCAUGAUUGCUUGCCUUCUCUUCUCAAAAAACACAAGAACCUGGCAGCUGCACACCAGCUUUUGCAAGGAAUUGGCCGCCGAAUUGGACCCCCCGCCCGCUCCGAUGUCCGAUCCUCCCUCCCUUCCUUCCCUGCCAGGAAAGCUAUGCUACAGUCUUGUUGCAUUAUGUUGAUCUUUCUGUUCGACAUCCAUCCACUCUCGGUCGUUGUCGACUGAUUCUCCGAGUUUUUCAGCAAAUUUCAGGUGGUUUUUGACAUGCCGUGUGUGUGUGUGUGUGUGUGCAUGAUGGGCAGUUGCAAAGCCUCUCUGAUGAAGUGCAGGUAAGGGAGGGACAUGGAUGGCAGUGCCACAGCCGUUGCACGCAGAGAUAUAAUGAUUGUGGCGACUCCACUAGACGAGCAUGAUGGAUGGAUGGAUGGAUGGAUGAUGAGCGUGUGUGGAUCGGCACCUGGCGACCGUCCGUCCGUUCCGUUCCGUUGGUUGGAGGCCAAUCAUGUAACGGCAUCUGUGCUUUGCUCGCUCGCUGCUUUAACCGAACUACCAAGCCAUUAGCUGGUGUCGAAUCGAAUAUUCAAUGGAGACCGCGGGUCGUGCGUGGCCUGGGGAUUGAAGCAUGCAAUGCAAGCAUGGCAUGGCGACGACGACUUUGCUUCGAGCUGAAUGGUGCAAAAUGGUUUUUGUUGCUUGACAGCAGAACGCGUCCGGUUUCAGGCAUAGUUGUCAAAAUCUGCAAUUUUAGCAUGUACAUUUUUUUUUCUUUUUUGCGUUUUUUAUGAUAAUUAAGGGAUCUGACUGAUUGCACGAUCCUGAUCAAUGAAGUCUACGAUUCUACGAGUUUUAUGUUCCGGAUCUUCUUACCUAAAUCCCUCUGAUUUGAUUUUUGAUAAGCUUGGAUUCAGGGGCAUGAUCGCUGCAAUUUCUGUCGCGUCCGGUGCGUUCGACCUCGGUGGUGGCAAUAAACUACACCAGCCAGAAAGAUUACAGGCCGGGCUCCCUAUCUGGGAUGCCAGGAGACCAGAUCACCGAUCCCGCAGGCCGGUGCCGGACGUGGCAAUGGGGCGCGUGCCGAGGAGCGGGAACGCGCGACGCACCUGCGCGCGGGUGGAAUCGCGUGCAUUCUCUCGAGGUCGGCUGUUGCGGCGGGCCGCGGCAUCAAUCAGCUGGUGCAUGCUCGGCGAGGCGACGACGGCGUAUCGUAUCGUAUCGUCCGUCCGUCCGUCCGGUGGCAAUGCAUGGAUGGGAAUGGGAUGGACCCAGAGGCCAGGGCAGAGCAGGCAGCGGUGCCGGUGCUUGAUGGAGUCGUCGUACUUGCCGGUGGGUAGCUAGCCACGGCCAGGGCCAACCCGGUGGAGUCCAGUAGGCAGUAGUGCGUCUUUCCUUCCGGUCCUGCCUGCCAGAUCAAAAGCAGGCGUACUCCAGCUUGCGGGUACGGGUACGGGGACCGGCGGAUCGCGCCGCGCCGCCGGACACCGUGCGUGCAUGAUUGGGUGGAGUCAACGACUGCGCUGCGCCUGCGCCUGCGCCUGUGCUACUGCUGGUCUGCUGCCCCUCCCGGUGGUCGUGCGUUUGGGCAGCCUGCCGUGCCAACAAGGAAGCCCAGUCGAGAGAGACAGCCCGGACCCCACCGAGUGCGCGGGGCCUCCGCUUUGCCGAGAGCAAUGGUACCGGCCCAAACGUUUCUCAAAAAAAAAAAAAAAGAUACCGGGCCAAACGGCCUAUGUUGAGCCUAGUACGUGGGAAAACUGUUGAAGACGGCUUAUUACACCAUGUUUGUAUUUGUAUAUGCUGGAGACCUGGAGUAUUAAAAAGGGACUGUGUAGAGAAUAGUUUUUUUCUUUGAUGAAUUUUAAAAACACUACUUCAUCUGUCCCUGAAUACAUCAAAUUCUUAGGGUUAUAUUAAGUCAAACAUUUUUUUAAGUUUGACGGGAUUUAUAGAAAAAAAGAACCAAGAUUGAUGAAAUCAAAUUAGUAUCGUUAGGCACAACAUAAAAUAUUUCUUAUAAUGUGCUCAUUUGGUGUCAAAAACAUUUGUGCUAUUUUCUAUUUGAUCAUAGAAUUGUUUAGUUUAAGGUAUGUAACUGAUUUAUUUAGGCGUUUUAGUGAUACUAUUAUGGUUUUCAAAACUAUAAACUUCUUGGUACAAAACCAAAGCAUUUUACAAACUAUAGUGUUUUUUCUAAAACUCCAAAAAAAAAACUUUGCAUCCAAACGACGCCUACUAGCUAGUUGAAUCCCCCAUUGCCAUAGGACCCAAUGUUCUGAUUCAAACCUGAAUUUCGCAACUUAUAAUGCUAUAAACAGGUUGGUCUUUGCUCAUCAAGGCUUCCUGCUAAAUUUGAUCCUUGGAUCAUCGAAUCUAGCCUCAACUCCAAUGGUAUGCAGUUGAUGUGGUCUAGAAAGCACGCGUUUUUUGAGAAAAUUUGGGUACCUAAUAAUGUUUUCCAGGUUACUCUAUUUUACCAGUUCAUUAUCCCACAGAUGGGUCUUUGCCCAUAAAAAGUUUCCUGCUACCUUGAUCCUUGGAUCAUCGAAUUUGGUCCAGAAAGGACACGUUUUUGAGCAAUUUCUCAUCAUAGAAAUAAAUAUGUUUGAAACAUCACAACUAAUAAGGUUACAAAUAGGCAACCAAUAAUGUUUUUCCAGGUUACCUAUUUUACUAGUUCAUUAGCCCACAUAUAAUAUUAAUAUAUACUAGUCAUUAAUACAUGGCAUGCUGUCUUAGUUUAUUUUAGGUUAAUUUUGGACCAACCAUGAAAAGGUCUGACCACUGCAAAAAUAGCCAAACGGAGAGCGAGCGACACCCAUGACAGAUGGAUCCUUCACCAGGUGUCAACUAGUAACAGCUGCCAUGCCAAGUGCCAACUAUUUGACAGGUUCUGUUUGCAAACAUGGGGCUCUUCUGUUGCCCGGCUUUUUCUCAUCUUGCUGCUGCCUUCUUCGUCUUCGUCUUCUCCCAUCCCCUCCUCCUCCCACUGCGCCACAACACGCCAUUCCUGGCCAUUUCCUGCUUGCAAAGGUACGACGGUUUCUCCACCCCUCUUGGUUUUGAGACACGCAAACAAGACCAUGAUAUGCUAUUCCAAUUCAUUGUUCCUGUGGUUGAGAAAGCAGCCAUGCAUGAAUUCACCGCAUUAGGUUCCAGGUACGUUUGCUGUCGUCGUCCUUGGCUCGUCCAAGGCAUCUAGUUCCAUGGAGAAUAGACCUUGGUUCAUCUCUGAUGCGUUGCCACAUGCUAUGUGAUUUGAGUGUCUAGCUUUUCAUUAGAUUCAUUCAUCAAUUUUCUUUUGCUCCCUCUUCAUGUUUUAUUUUUGCUGACAUAACUAAAAGAAUUUCCCUGCAUAUUUGUCAUUGGAGAAAACUGUAAAAGAUGUGGGUUUUUUUGUGAAAAAAAAAACUACUACAAAAGAAGAAUUUGACUGCCUGCUUGUUCUGCUUUGUUUAACGGUUUUUUUUUUCAUUUUGAGACGAGCUUUGUUUGACAUAAACACAUAGUUCCAUAGUAAAAAAAAAACAACUUGCACUUGAGUUGAAUGUUUUGACCGUGUUGUAAUACAAAUGGGAAUGAGAUCAAAAUUGUUUUUUUUAUGAUAAAAAAAAUGAGAAAACAUCAAUUGUCACCGCAACGUGGCAGGAGUGUUUGUCACAGAAUGCAAACAUGGCAUACAUGUUGUCUAAACAUUUCAAGGUCAAUCAGAUACAAAUCGGAGCUUUGGAAAUAUAAAUCUCCCAAAUCACGUCUUGUACCGGCAAAACAAUUGACAAAUCUCUCUGCUCUGUGUUGCGAUGCAGCGGAAGCCGCCCAUGGCCACGCGGCCGUCGCUGCGGUCGAGCGACGGCGCGCGCCCAAGAAGCAGGAGCGGGACCGGCACUGGCAGGCCCCCGUCGAGCCCACGCAGCUCCGACCCGUCGCGCCCGUCCGCCGCCGCCGCCACGGCGGCGGCGGCGGCGGCGUCCGACAAGCCGAUGCCGUCCUUCCUCCGCCCCACCGUGAGCUCGUCGAUGCACAGCUCCUCGUCGUCUUCCUCGCUGGCGUCGCCCUCCCCCUCUUCGUCGUCCUCCGCCACGGCCGCCGGUGCCGGCGGCUCCAAGGGCACUGCCGCCACGGCGAAGCGGUCUGCCGAUAAGGCCCCGGCGCAGCCGGUGGGCGCGUCCCGGCCGAUCACGCCCAAGGACAAGGCCCCCGCGCAGCCUGUGGGCGGGCCGCGGCCGAUCACGCCCAAGAAGGACAAGGCCCCGGUGCAGCCUGUGAGCGCGCCGCGGCCGAUCACGCCCAAGGACAAGGCCAAGGCCAAAGCGCCGGUGGCGGCGUCGACAUCCUCGUCGCGGUGGGCCGCGGUGUCGCCGAGGCAGCUGAUGCAGAGGGCGUCCAACGCGUUCAAGGCCAGCAGCAGGUCCCGCAGCAAGAAGAGCAAGGAGGAGGCGGCGACCUCGGCGUCCGGAAGCAAGGGCGGCGCUGGUGCCACCUCCGCCAGGGCCAAAGACCAGACGGCGAGAGCACAGCCCGUCGAGGAGCAGAGCCAGCAGCCGGAGACGCCCGCCGAGCCGUCGCCUGCCGUGACUCCCGUGGAAGUAGAGGAUCCUGUGCUGUUGGACUCCGAAGCUGCUGACCAGAACGAACAGGACGUCCCGACGUCGCAGGAGGCUGUCAGUACUGACAUCACGACCGUGCCGGUGAGGUAUCACAAGGAGCAGGUCGGCGCAGGACAGCCGAAGGGAAAAGCGGAGGAGGAGGACGUCGCCGUGGAGGAGAAGAUCAUACAGGUGGAGGCUGAGGAGGUGAAGGCGGAGAAGCUGGAGCUGCAUGAAGACAGGCCGCAGAGCAGCGAGGCUGUGCAGACAGAAACGGAGGCCCAGAAGCACGCAGAUGAUGGUUCGCCGGCCGUCGUUGGAGAAGAAGCCGCGGCGAAGGAGGCGGCAGCACAUGAGGGAGAAGACGAGCCGACAACCAGCACGGUGGAAGAAAAGGUCAUCGAGGAGAGCCAGCAAGCAGAGGUGACUGAGAACUCGGAGGCGAACGUGAUCUCUGAUGAACCAAAACAGGAAACCAGCGUGAUCUCUGAAGAACCCAAGGAGGAAACGAGCGUGAUGUCUGAAGAAUCAAAGGAAGCAGCUGAUCCCACGCCUUUGCAGAAGCACGAGGAGGUGGUCGACGAGUCAAAAGUGACUGCCGGAUCGAGCGUGUCAGCUCCGACGACGCCACUUAGAGAAGCGGCCAACGACGACGACGACGACGUGGAGGCAGUGCCUAAACAGGUGAGCGCGUCGGAGCCCGUGACGCCGGUGGCAGAAGCCAUCAGCAAGGGGAAGGAGGUGAUGGAUACGCAGCAGCAGAGCGCGUCGGCGCCGACGACGCCGGCGGGCGCGGCAAAGAAGAGCGCGCCAUCGAAGCAGGCGACGAUCCCCGAGGGGUCAGCGGCGUCGGCGCUGGCGUUCAAGGGGCGCAAGGUGAAGACGGCCAUGGAGAAGCGGUCGGAGGAGGAGCAGCCGAAGAAGAAGGAGGUGGCGCGGAGCAACGACGUGAUCGAGGAGGCCAAGAGGGAGCUGAUGGAGAAGCGGAAGAGCAAGGUGAAGGCGCUGGUGGGGGCGUUCGAGACCGUCAUGGACAGCCCCCGGGCGAGCUGAUUUGAAUUUUUGGAGGGAAGGCCGAGUUGUGGUUUGAAUUUUGGCGGGGGUGUUUGGAUUGUUGCUUUCUUGUUUGUUGGUCCAUCGUUGCUUCUUGUGAUCACUCGAACAAAUGGAGAUGUGUGUCAUUGGCAUAUUGCUGAUUUGAUCAUUCUUGAUGAACCUGUUCUUUAUGAGGAGAACAUAGCAGUGUUUAUUUGGUUUUAACCGAUACAAUAUGUACGGUUUCUUCCUAAGAUUUUGACAUGUAUAAUGUAGUAUGUGAUUUAGCUUCUUCUACGGCAACCAUUUGGAGGUUGCCUUGCCUAAACUACAGAUCGAACGAGGCGAAGGCCUAUGACUAAACUAAAGAGAUUAGAGCAUCUGCAGUCAUGACCUUAGUGGAGAUCUCAGACAAUGCUUAAGGGCCGCCCAUCAACUAUUUGAAGGUGUGUGCUUGCAUGCGGGCUAAUUGCAACCGUGAAUGGUUUUGGAUUUAGAAUCUAUGCUAGACUCGCCUGGCAUUCCUGCAAGUGGGUUUUCUACUCCCUCCAUCCCAAAUUGUAAGUCAUUCCAAGAAACUUGGAGAGUCAAAGCAUUUUCACGUUUGACUAAAAUUAUAGAGUGAAAUACUAAGAUUUGUAACGUAAAGUGAGUAUACUAUGAAAAUAUAAUUAAAGAAGAAUCUAAUAAUAUUUAGUUGGUAUCAUAAUAAUAAUUAUUUUAUCAUUUAAAUUUGGUCAAACUUUGAAAAAAUUGACUCUCCAAGAUUUUUGGAAUGACUUACAAUUUAGGAUGGAGGGAGUAUGUAGAAAUAAAUAAAAACAAUGUUUCAGACUGAGAAAAAAAAUUCUGGAGAGCAAUGUCUCUUUUUAGACCCCUGUCCAACAGGUGGCAAGGAAAUUAAAAAUUUACAAGUGAGGCUGCGUUUUUAUUUUAGAGUAAACUAUUGAAAAUUAUUAGUAAUGAGUUAUUUUCCCUUUCCAAUAUUAAUUGAAAAGGUUGGAAAACUAUAUUUUGGAUUAUUUUUUUGGCACUGUUGGAAAUACUAGAGUUUGGAGAUUAGUACUAAUUACUAGUAGUAACAGUUGACAAGAAAAAAAAACAAAACAAAUCCGCCAAGAACAUGUUUGUCUUGCAUACACUUUUUAGCUGUCAGAAGCUACUUUAACAGAUUGUAUACAGGAAAACAAAGUAGAACAUCAGAAAAGAUUGGAAAGAUAACCACGUCCGAUCCUUUCCAAUCCGGAACAGCUAGAAAGCAUCUGAGGUGAUGGAACCUGAACGAAGCUGCAACCAGGCUUUAGCUGCUGAGCUCCAAGAAACGCCUGGCCAUCGGGUGCUUGGCAUCGGACAGCUCUGACGGCGCGAGCACCUCCACGAUCUCGCCGGCGACGACGAGGCACACCAGGUCGGCGAUCCGCUGGAUCUGCUUCACGCUGUGGGAGACGAUCACCGUGGUGAGCCCCCUCGUCUUCUUCAGCCGCACGAUGGCCUCCUCGAUGUUCUGUGUCGAGAUCGGGUCCAGCGCGCUCGUCGGCUCAUCCAGCAGGAGCACCUGCAGCAACCGAUCCGAUCGAUGUCAGCAAGCCGGCCAUGGUGGAGGACAUCGUCAGGAAGACGAAGCAUGCAUGAGAGGCGACGGUGCACGUGCCUCGGGGUCGUUGGCGAGGGUCCGUGCCAAGGCGACGCGCUGUGCCUGUCCGACCGACAGCUCGGACGCCGGCUUGGAGCACAGAGCAGGGUCCAGAUCGGCCAGGCUCAGCAGGUUCUUCACUUCGGCUUCAGUGAGCUUCUUGCCGCGCAACUGUGGCCCAUAUCGUACGUUGUCAGCCACGGUUCCUGCCAAAAGCACGCAGAAAAAAAAUCAGAAAAAUCAGCUUCGAAGAGGCCACUGAUAGAGCUGACUUUGUUUCAACUCCUUGCUCACACACACAGUCAAAUUUUUUAGUCUGUUGAGGCUGAUUGUUUUAAGGGCAAUCAGCACAUGACUCUUUUUUUAUCCUUAGAUCUGAAAAAUGAUGGAUUCAGGUCAAUUCUCUCUCUUUCACCCUUACAUAUUUGUUCUUCUUCCUCGGCGCGCACCAUCCUGACCUAUCCUCGAUAGCACAACUCAUCCUCGAUAGCACAACUCACCCUCGCUGCCCCACCCAGUUCUGACGGACCCUCCCCCUCUUCCGCAACCGCUGGAUCUGCCGCUAUCCAACACGAUCUGACGCUAAAUCAUCUAUUAUGCCACUUUCACAUCUUUUAUCUCUAGUUGAGCUCUUCCAUUGCCACCGUCUAGCUCCUACAGUGCAUUAACACCUACAACCAUCAUCAACCUAACUUGUGGCUUUGUCGGGCUAUCACCAUGACACCUCUGCUCUUGCCCCCACCCAACCUCCUUCCCCCACUACCCGGUCGACAGCUUCACACCACACCAAAUCCGCCACCACCAUCGGGCUAGUGACCUCCCCCGAUGAUCCCUCUAAGCUGAAUAGACUUAGGUAAGCCCUCGAACCCUGAAUCCUAAACCCACAUUGUAGUCUUCUUAACGUUCGAGAAGAAGGACAUAGUGCCAUCCUUAGAUUGGACAGAAAAAUUCAAGUGAGAGGAAGCUUUGAAUCAGUCAACUAAAUUUUAUCUUUACUCAAAAUUUAAGAGACAUGGUGAAAAAAUAUAUUCUAAAAAAAAUAAACGAAAUUCAGAAACAUCAGACCAUUCAUUCAGUGGAUUGUAAACAUCAGCAACAACAGUCAUUGAAUCUUUUAUGUUUACUAAAAAGUUAUGGCAUGAUGUGCCUAAUUAAUCUCGCCACACAUAACCUUACUGAAAUUGCUGCACCUACAUAAAGCAUGGCAUAAAAUGGAAAUAACACUUGUGCAAGGUCUGACAAAAAAUCGAGUCAACGACGUGUGUGGUAGGUUACUAGCAAAGUGUGGCGUAAUGUAGUUGCAGAUAAUAUAUCAAACAACUACCUCGCAAGUUAUAUGACGUGACUAACAUGUGAUGUAGCAAUAAAGUUAGCCGCAAACCAAACAUGUUGUAACCACUUGUGCCACUGUGAAUGUAAAGUAGCCUCUAAAUCUAUAUAUAACUUACCCACCUCCAUCAUUAAACGCGACUAGACAUUGGUCCAUUUAAAUUGUACCCAGAUCUUGCUUUGUCAAUUGAAGUUUGUGACGAUUUCACAAAGUUAAUUGCUUUUGCUGUCUCUUCGUUAAGCAAUCGAUUGUUUGCUAGGCUAGCCUUGGUUAAUGCUAUGGCACAAUUUACCGUUGUAUAUAUAUAUUUGAAAGAGACAAACCUACCUUACAUCCUGGCAAUACACUAGACCAGAUCUUCAGCAAUCCUAAAAUAUUUCGUGCUCUAUCAAAACUACAAGUUGGUUCUCUAUUGAUAAACUAGUUGUGUACUAGUACUAUCAAAGUUUUUUUAAAAAAAAGUGAAUGGCAUCCCACUUAAAUUUUUCAACGGUUGGAGCUUUCUUUAAAGGUUAGCUGGUUCGCCAUCAUCACGCAUCCUCUGUCAACUGAAGGAUGGUUAUUAUUUGUGCAUCUCAGGAUGUAGAAGCCAAGCACUACUGCACGUCUGCACUAAUGUGAAAUGAAAAGAAAAUCGUGGUGUGCUCAUAGUGAUGGCACAUAUAUAGUUUAUUUAUCAUGCACGUCCAUGUUAUCUGAGUACAGAACGGUACGGUGCUUAUCACCGGGGACUCGUUGACCUUUUCAAUCCAGAAAUGUCAGCUUGUGUAGCUUAUCACAGUUGGACACUUCCAUGUGCUUAGCAAAUGCCAAAUUGUGAUAUUUUUUUCCCUAGUAUUAUUAUAUGCAUUAUGCAGGCAAUUAACCGAUCGAACCUUGUGUUCUAGUUCCAUCAAUCAAUUGAUCGAUUUGAUCGAGCAUUGGCAACAUGAACAAACUGAUUCCGAGUUUUAUCCCUGUUUCUCUAUGCAGUAUAUAAAAAAAAUACGAGCUUUAUUCAACUUUGUCGAUGUACGUACCGUCGAACAUGGCGGGGGUCUGGAAGAGCAUGCCGACCUUGCGGCGCAGGGUGAGGACGUCGAUGGCGCAGAUGUCGGCGCCGUCGAGGAGCACGGCGCCGGGCGCGGGCUCCCAGAGGCGGUUGAGCGCGCGGAGCAGCGUGGACUUGCCGCUGCCGCUGGGCCCGAUGACGCCCAUGACGACCCCGCGCGGCACGUCCAGGUGGACGCCCCGGAGGAUCUCCUCGCCGGUGGCGGCGUCGGCGGACUCGGCGCGGCGCCGCAGCCCGCGCACCCGUAUCUUGGGCUCCGCCGCCGCCGCCGCCGCGCCGCCGUCCACGUCCAGCAGGUGCUCCCGGAGAUCAUCUGCCCAUGUCGUCGAAUCAUGUCAUGCACGGAUCGGACCUGCAGGUAAAUGGUAACAAUGGCCUGCCUGAUCGAUCGACCAGUACGUUGAGCUUGGUUGUUUCUCACCUGACGAAGCUGAGCCCAUUAUUGGCGGCGGCGGCGGCGGAGGAGGCGUCCGGAGCUGCUAGCAGCGAGUAGAGAGAGUGGACUCUCGGUGGAGGGAAAGGUGUGUGGAGGGAGAUGGGGGGUGCCGAUCCUGCGUCCCCGUCUCCGUGUGACCUGUGAUGUGGUGCUUCGGCUUUUUGGAGCGCAGGCGCAAGAUGGACGGAUGGGUUCUUUUCGCGGGGGCUUCAACUUGUCUUGAUACUAGUAAAAAAAAACUUGUCUUGUUUAGUCGUGAAAAGAUUUUGGAUUUUAAUAUUAUAGUAUUUUUGUUUGUAUUUGACAAUUAUUUUUGUUUGUAUUUGUCAAUUAUUGUUCAAUUAUAGACUAACUAGAUUUAAAAGAUUCGUUUCGUAAAUUGUAGAUAGACUGUGUAAUUAGUUUUUUAUUUUUAUCUAUAUUUAAUACUUUAUGUAUGUGCCAUAAGAUUUAAUGUGACGAAAAUCUUAAAAAGUUUUUUGAAUUUCAUGGUAAACUAAUCAAGACCAUGUGGUGCGUCAGUGCGUGUGUGCGUUGCCCUUGCGUGGCAUUUGGUGGCGGCCGGAAGAGCGGUGGCAUUCGGUGGCGGCCCGCAUUCGGUGGCAUACUGGUCCUGCGCAUGCCAUGGCACACAGAGCGUAUCGGUGUGUCAUUCUAGACUUUUUUUUCCUCCUAAAAUAAUAUUCUGCUAGUACUCAAAUUGGGUGGUUCUAGAUCUUUCCUGUCCAAUUCACCUAUACGGGGAACCGAUUGCCGAGCACUUAGCUGCAUGUCGCUCUAAAUCUCCUCAGCCGUUCGAUUGCGUGAUUAAUGCUCUAGAAUUAAUCCUCACCUAUCUACUGCCCUAGUAAAAAAAAAUCUUCCUCCUCUCUUUCUCUUCGUCUCUUCUCUUCUCCUCCCACUCUUUUCCUCCCGACUUCUGCAGAAGCACACGGCAACGCCACUGGCCCAUGGCCUCUCCCUCUUCUGUCUCAUCUCUCUCAUUCCUCACUCCUCUCCCUCUGCCAGCGCGUGGGCACGAGGCAAGCUAGGGCAUAGGUGGCGCUCCAGGUACGUCGCCUCUCUCCCUCUCCCGAUGUGGCGCAGCACCGGCAAGCGGACUCACUAAAUAGCGAACGUUCAUUAGAUUUGAAUCUGGCGAACGAUCAGACAGCCCCCACGACUUUUCUUUUUUGACAAAAAAAGAAAUCCCGCAAUUUUCUAUUUUUGGAAAGUUUUCUAUUUUAGGUCAAAAAAUCGCUACUUUUCUUUUUUGAAUAAUUGUACUCACAACUUUUACGUAAAAUUUAUGGAACAAACUUUUACGUAUAACUUAUAUACAUGACUUUAAUAUAUACCUUCACUGUGACAAAGUUACACACAUAACUUAUACAUAUAACUUACUACAUGAUAAAGUUAUACGAACAACUUUUAUCUAUAAUAUUUUAUGAAACAAGUUUAUCAAUAUAAUUUAUGACAAGACAAUUUAGCGAACGUUCAAAAAAGUUACAAUUAAAACUUAAGCAUAUAAUUUAAUUAAACCAAUUUUAACAUAUAAGUUAAUAACUGCAAGUUAAGCACAAAAUAUAAUAAAUCAAACAGUUUUGCAAAAAGUUAGACAUAAAAGAUAAUAAUUAUAAGUUAAUAUCUACUAGUUACAUGUAGAAAGUUAGAUAUAAAAGUUGUGUACAAAAAGUUAGAUAUAAAAGUUACGUGCAGAAAGUUAAUAAUUAUAAAAUUUACAUCUAGUAUUUUAAAAUAAAUGUUUUAUUUUUAUAUGACAUCAGCGGUGGUUAUGGAAAAACAUGCUAGAAGAGGAGGUAGUUUGAACCUUUGUUACAUCAAAUCUAAGUGAACGAUCGCCCAAAUAAAAUAAGGGUUGACAACAUAUAUAAAAAGAAAAAAUUGAUAGACUUAUAUAAAAAAUAAAAAGAGAAAAAAAAAAGGCAAAAGAAAAAUUAAAAAAUGUUUUAUAACUUUUGUGCUUCAAAGUGUUGGCAUAAGUUGUAAGUUAUAUGGUAGAAGUCAUAUGGUGAUAAGUUUUGCAAAGUGUUAUACCAAGUUGUUAGUAUAAUUUAUAGAAAUAAGUUAUAUUCUAUAACAUAUAUGUAUAACUUAGUCACCUUCUAAAAAUGAAAAGUUGCGGAAAUUAUCAUUUCUAAAUAAGGAAAGUUGCGGGAGUAGCUGAUGAUUCGCUGGAUUCGUUAUUGGUGAACGACCGUGGAAUUGGAUUUGUGACCGGCAAGCGGAGCCCCCACGGUGGCGCGACGACGAGGCGACGCGUCGUCAGUGCAAGCAGCCGCCACCCAGGAGAUAGUCCCGGUGUGGCCACACAUCACGAGUUCCAAUGGCAGCACAAUCGGCACAAAAAGCAGAAGCACUACCUAGAGGUUGUCCUGAUCUCCUCCGUUCACCAUAGGGUUUGCCGUUGUUCUGGUACUAAGGUACUCCAAUUUCACUUAUUUGCAGUCCGCAUUUGAUUUAUUUUUUCAAGUCAUGACAGCUACUAUAUGAGCUAAGCCUAAUAGAAUCAAUGAGAUACACUAAUUCUUUUUUUUAGCACUAGAUCUACAAACACGCUUAGAAUGGAAUAUAUCUCUAAAUAGGUCCUCAAUUUCUCGUGCUAUGUAAUUUUGCUAUUACACUUUCUAUGUUAACCAUAGUUAUUUUCUAUACCAAGAUCCUUCGAGGUGUGGUACCUAUAAUUUUUGUAUCUCUAUAUUAUUGAAAAAAUAUAUUUGCAGAUUAUGUUUAGUCUAUUAAGAGGAAAAAGGAAUAGUGUCCUACUCCCAUAUCUCAGUUUAAAUUAUUUACCAGUAAAAUUAAAAGUUUUAACCUUUUUGUUUAGAUCACCGGUGUUCUGAUGGUGUUUGAGUGAUUUUAUAACUUUUUCACAUCAGGUCAAAUGGUACCUUUAGUAGGAUACUAUAUUAAUGAAACAAAUUGAUUGCAGUAUAUACAUUUUCAUGCUGUAUUGCUAUACAUCAAUGAAUUUUUUUUUCUUUUAUGAAUUGUCAGUGAAGGUAAAGAGUUAUUGCAGGAGGGCGCUCAGUCAGGCUCGCUCCGGUUGCUUGCGGCCGCACGCUCUUCCCGACCGAAUUGCGUCGUGGUGUGCCGCGUGCCUCUGAGUUUUGGCCCGGAGGCCAAAAGGCCCGCCCAAAACAGUAGCGCUACUAUAUUGGGAUUUAAGCCUCUACUAAGGUAAGGUACAAGACUAGUUGGGUCCUAUUAAUAAGAACUGAGCUUCCUAUGUGGGCUAGGAAGCUCACUGUCUUCAUAGAUGGCCUGAUUCUUCCCCUCUCCAAAAAAAGGUGAAAAAAAAACAAUGGCCUGAAUUGGCUCAAAAUAGUUUGCACUGACCGUUUACUGGCUGCCUCCAUGAUUAUGGAUCAGCAGCAGUAUCAAUCAGCAGUUAGUUCUUUGCUUUCACGCCCAGGUACCUCUGUCUGCUAGGCAGCUCUUUUUAGGCUAUCGAUUUCAGUGGCUUGAUCGUCAAGAUCAUCGCUGCCUGACACUGAGAGGUGCAGCUGGUUUCACGAAUGUUGAGGCCAACAGGUUGCUUGUUUACCCACCGAUGCUCCAACGACGCAGGUGCAUGUGGCGCCGAAGAUCGAUUGCGGGCCUGUUUAGAUUGGGGAUGAAAAUUUUUUGGGUGUCACAUCGGAUGUGUCGGAAGGAUGUCGGGAGGGGUUUUUAGAAACUAAUUAAAAAACAAAUUACAUAGCUCGUCAGGAAACUGCAAGACAAAUUUAUUAAGCAUAAUUAAUCUGUCAUUAGCAUAUGUGGGUUACUGUAGCACUUAAGGCUAAUCAUGGAGUAACUAGGCUUAAAAGAUUCGUCUCGCGAUUCUUAACUAAACUAUGUAAUUAGUUUAUUUUUUUAUCUACAUUUAAUGUUUCAUGCAUGUGUCCAAAGAUUUGAUGGGAUGGAUGAAAAAUUUUUGGGUGGUGAACUAAACGGGCCUGGGAUAAAAUUUUUUUGGGUGUCACAUCGAAUGUGUCGGAAGGAUGUCGGGAUGGGUUUUUAGAAACUAAUAAAAAAACAAAUUACAUAACUCGUCAGGAAACUGCAAGACAAAUUUAUUAAGCAUAAUUAAUCUGUCAUUAGCAUAUGUGGGUUACUGUAGCACUUAAGGCUAAUCAUGGAGUAACUAGGCUUAAAAGAUUUGUCUCGCGAUUCUCAACUAAACUGUGUAAUUAGUUUAUUUUUUUAUCUAUAUUUAAUGUUUCAUGCAUGUGUCCAAAGAUUCGAUGUGAUGGAUGAAAAAUUUUUAGAUAGGGAACUAAGAGAAUCAUGCAUGUUUGAAUGAAUGUCACCGGCCAACCAACAAACAGCUGCCAAUAACUUUGUGGCGCUACUACAACUGUACGUAACCAAAGCAGGCUCAUUGAAUUCAGAUGUAAAACUUUGGAGAUUUUAUAUUUGGUUGCGAAAUUUUUUGCAAAAUGAUUACUUUAGCAUUUUCGUUUAGAUUCGGUAAUUAUUAUUCAAUCACUUACUAACUAGGUUUAAAAAAUUUAUCUCGUAAAUUAUAGAUAAACUAUAUAAUUAAUUAUUUUUUGGCUAUAUUUAAUAUUUCUUGCAUGUGACGUAAAGAUCAAUAUGCCAGAGAAUCUUGAUCAUUCUGUAAAAUGGCCCAAGAACUAAACAGGGCCUCUGUUAUUGCACAGAUCGUUUGCUACAGUUAGCCAUCUCCUGCCUUCACUUCGAUAGUUAGGGCCUGUUUAGAUUGGCAAUGAAAAUUAUUUAGGUGUCACAUCGAAUAUGUCGGAAGGAUGUCGGGAGGGUUUUUUAGAAACUAAUAAAAAAACAAAUUAUAUAGCUCGUCAGGAAACUUCAAGACAAAUUUAUUAAGCAUAAUUAAUAUGUCAUUAGCAUAUGUGGGUUACUGUAGCACUUAAGGCUAAUCAUGGAGUAACUAGGCUUAAAAGAUUCGUCUCGCGAUUCUCAACUAAACUGUGUAAUUAGUUUAUUUUUUUAUCUAUAUUUAAUGUUUCAUGCAUGUGUCCAAAGAUUCGAUGAGAUGGAUGAAAAAAAUUUAGGUGGGAAACUAAACAGGGCCUUAGUACUAGUAUUGACGUAACAAAAAAUCUUUUUAAAAGAGAAUUCACUACAAUUGUUUUAUCACGUCGGUGUUACAGCUACUACUCGUAGUCGUAGCUCUCAUCACUCACCGAUUUCAGAAGAAAUAUAGCUGGCAACCAAUGAAACAAUGAUGCGUCACUUGUUGACUACAGACCAUUGAAUGAACACGCGCCAUGUUUCCCUAGCCUAAACCUACAUACACUACUCAAUGUGUUCGUUCGUACUACACGUGCGUGCGUGGCGUCAAAGUUGGGAGCAAUGUGCCUGCCUCAGACUUCCGAGAUGGCACUGCAGAAUAUCAUGUGUUGAGUGGCGACGGUGGUUCUGAAAAUCAUGCUGCGUCCGACAAGUUCCGAACAAAAAAUCAGUUCAUGUCAGCCAGAAACUAAUCGAUGGAUGUCCGUAGUAGUUAAACUGGGGUUACGUAGUAACGUAGGGGAUGACGAAGGCAAGCAGCACAUGAACUGAACGAUCGAGAUUGCAUCUCUUCGAGUACUGUAAUGACGAAACAGAGUUCGGACAGCACAGUAGCAUUAUGUAUAUCCCCCGGUGCUUUGUCGUCUGAUUCAGACUGAAACUACGGCUCCCGGCUCCAUCAUCAUCAGACAUCACACGUCGCUUCAUUCGUGCUACUAGCACGGACGAAUUAUUGACAUGAUUUGAAACCGACGGGGUCUGGAGGAUUGGAUCCCUAUUGGGCGGUCAAUGCCGUGGCGGCCCGUUCGCCGAGCUGGCGUCACUCUAAACACUGCAGCACGUACUGUACCUCCCUGGCACGACGGCGUAACAGUGCCGCUAAUCACGUCGCGAAUCUCACCUAGCUUCCUUCCCUGCAUUAUGCGAUGCUCGACGUCUUGCUCAUUGCUGAGCCAUGCUGUAUUGCUGUGUGUCACUCAUGCAUGCGACUAUGCGAGCUCACCUCAUCACCUGCAGUACAACGCUGCGCACGCAUUGGCAUUGCAACUGAGUGGGCCGGUGGGGUGGGCCGGCCGGCCGGGCUGGCGGCUGAUGAGCCUGGGCAUGCGUGCCCACCUCGGAACGUCGCCGUCGGUGGUCCUCCGCGUCGCCAUCGAUCGGUCAGAGAGUCAGAGAGAGAGAGAGAGAGAGAGAGAGAGAGAGAGAGAGAGAGAGAGCGCCUCAACCUCAAGUCCUCAACCAUCCCGUCGCCAGAUUGACGACGAAAACGACGCGUGUCGGUCUACUAGCCAAACCCCGGUCGUUGAAACUUGAAAGGAACUUGCAUGCAUGGGAGCACUGGGACGUGAUACAUUACAUGCUACUGUCGGUCCUACCACCACCACCACCCACGGCAGUACUGCCAUAUUCAGCUUUAAUUUAGAGUUAGAUUUAUUAUAAAAUAUAUUUCUAUAAAAUAUAUUCAUUUUAUGUUAUAUAUAUUGAUGUUUUUUUAUAAAAUUGAUUAAACUUUAAAAAAAAUUACAUAGAUUUUAGGAAUUCAGAUUUCAGAGACAGAAGGAGUACAAGCUUGCAAAUACUGUGCUGUGCUGGGUGAGACAGUAAGUUAAGGUGUGAAUGGUGAUAGGCCGUAUGAACCUUCUCCAAGAUUGACAUGGGAACAGACAUACUAGACCCGCUAGGUUUUAUAUAGACCCAAAUUCGUAGGAUUUAAAAUAUGACUGUUACUAGUGUUUCGUGUUAAAACUCAUCAUGUCCAUACGGGUUAUGUGUAUCUAUUGGGCCUCCGCUGCAGUAUGAUUAGAUGGAGGAGGGGGAGUAAGCUAGGUUUAAAUUUUGGAUGAGCAUGCAUGUUAACUUGUUUUACAUACAGCCACUGAAUAGAGACAUGUCUAUCAAAACAGUGAGGCAUUGUUGGCAGAUAUGAGUGAGUUCAUAUGAUAGAUCAUGUUUUCAAUCUCUAUGGUUCUACGAGUUUGAGUAGUACACUCUCCGACGCCGCUCGCAAACAUGUUGGAUCAAGCUUUUUUAUCCAUUAACAAACUCACAUAUAACACGAUAAAAAGCCUACCAGGUUUUUGGCUUUACCCAUGUUUGAUCAGUCCCCGAUCCCAGGGCUGUUUUGCCAACCGUCUACAUGAACGAAAUUGAACUUCAUUGCGGGAAAUUUGGAUUUCAUCAGGGAGGAAAUGGCGAGGCCGAGGGUGCUAGCUUGGCUGGGAUAGGAAUUAGGAAGUUUCGUUGUGAAGUACCCGUUGCCGUCUCUCUGCUCCACGGUCCCCGUUCUGACCUGUAACGGUACCAAACAAAACAGGGUGGAGUACAUUCGACACAAAACAAAGGAAAAAUAUCGGUGCGCGCACGAACGAACGACGGAACGAGCACAUCGUACGGCGACGCAGAACGGGAUUGAUUGCAUGUCACGAGAAUCAUGUCGGCAGCACUAGCAGUAGCAGUCCAGCGCCGUGUACUAGCAGUAGGAGUAGCAGAAUGUAUAGUGGUUCCUGCGAGGCCUGGGUUCGUGGUUUCCCUGUCCCAGAAAGCGGCAUCGUUGCUUUUCGAAAAGCCGCCCGCUAGUGGUAUGUGGCCGCUUCUUGGGAUACCGUAUCGGAGCCGCGAUCAUGAGGGCGUGUCACGAGGACGGCAGCCGUGUCGGGACCGUGUCCGAGCCCACGACCAAAAAAGCGGAGCGGCCGAGAAUGGAGAGGUCCAGCCGUGGCCGGACUUGGCCACCGGAGAGCUGAGAUCCCGCCUGCCGCGUCGAUGCCUGCCGGUUCUGUUCGCAAGACGCACCGCACCGCGUGUCACGAGGGGAGUCAUGGAUGCGGAGCUCGCGACUACGCUCUGGCGUCCUGGUCCGGGCGGCGAGUGAGGCCAAAAAGGGAAGGCGCCUGCCACGCCCACGGUGGGAUCAUGGGCGUACACGUCCCUGCUGCUGCAGGGUGCAGCAGUGCAGGCUCACGGCUACAGAAACCGCAGCGAGACAUACGGAGUACGUACUCCGUAUACUAGAACGUACGCCCGGGCACAGUACAACGCACGACGGGGAUCAGUGAUCCCCAGACCCACAGCCACAGGCCACACAGGCUACGGCGCCCCACCGAGAGAGAGCUCGAGCUGCGCCAUGUACAGCGAACUGAUCGCGGCCGUGUCAGGCUCGCCCACGCACGCACAGAGGGGCAGGCAGGCAGGCGCUGAAAAGGGCGAGAAAUUUCCCUUCAAUGCGGCAGGGGAGAGGCAGCAGAAGUGCACAAGGCAAAAUUUAACGCGAGAACGUGCGCGCGCGGGCCACGCCACACGACGGCAGCAGCAAGCAAUCAUGGUCGUCGUCCCGCGGGAGUAUUCGAAGCGGCGCACCCGUGUGUGAUACGGUGACAUAGCCGUUGGGGGCCGGCCGUGGCACGGGCACGGCGGCAUGGGAUGGGGGACAGGCGGUGGGUGACUGAUGCGCGGCACGGAGAGCACGAGGCCACGACGGCGUGCGGCCGGCGCAGGAGGCAAGCGUGCGGCCGCCGAACGCUCCGCCCACGCCGCGGGUACGUACGUACGUUACCAUCUGCUCGCUAGACAACGCCGGAAGGAACAAAAGCGAGAUGCCUGCUGGUGGUGCAGUUGCGCUGCUUGACAUGCUCAUGUGCUCGCACGCAUGCCAUGCAGCUCGUUGGCCAAGUCACCUACACAUUGUAGUAGUACAGUAGUAGUACACCAAAAGGCCGAGGCACUUUUCUUCCUCCUCAUGCACAGCGAGACAAAAGAACUUUUUCGCAGGCAGCAGUACAACUACACAAAGCACGCUUCAGCUUUCGUAUGGUUCCCUAACCCCCGACCCGGCCGACGCAAGGCGCCAAUUCCUCACCUGCGCAAGCGCAGCCGCACGCACGCACGGGACACGGCCACAGGCGCACGGCACGGCACACAGCGGCACAGCGCUCGACCGAUCGCCGCGCCUCCCGUCCGGCCCGGCCGCAGGGGAUCCGCGGCGCGGCCAAGCCUCGAUGCCCGCGGCGGCAUCUGCGGGGCGGGACGAGCGGGACGCAGCCAAUCCGCGCCGCACGUACACUACCAGCCAGCAGGACCAACACAUCCCGCCUCGAGAUUCCCGCGAAAGCGACAUCCCUUCCGCGCCUCCUCCUCGCUCUCCGGCGCGGCUUCCGAGGCCGGCCGGCGUGGCCCCGGACGAAAGUAGGGAGGGCCCCUCCCCGCCAAUACAUAAUUCCCACGCUGCCCAUCACGUGACGCGCCGGCGACCACGGAGAGCGGCCAGCCGCCCCGCCCCGCCGCUUUACUGAUCUGUGCAAUUGCGUGGCAUCUGGCAUGAACGACGUCGACGGCGGAAAAACUUUCUUCUCCCGGCUGCAACGUGGGGUCCCGAGCCACGCAGGCCUAGGCGAUAGGGCCGUUACGCCCGGGCGUGGCCCCACGCGGCGCCCACCAGCUCGACCCGGGCCACCGCCGUGCGCCACCGCCAGCGGCUCGUGGCUCGCCCUCGCACGCGCCGGCGCGGAUGGGCGGGAGGCGGCGUACCCCGGCCGCCAGCUCCGACAGGCUCCGCACGCCGAUGGCGCUCCUGGCGUUACCGCCGGAGUUGACGACGGCCGCGGAGCAGGAGUAGCGGCCGGCCUCCGUGACGAGGAACUCGGCGCGGACGAACAUGAGGUCGGACGGACGCAGGUCGCUCCAACGCUGCUGCGCCGCGGGCGCUGUCUCGCCCUCGCAACCGCCCGCGGUGCUCACCAGGAUGCGGUGCCCGAACCGCCGGUCGAGCGCCACCGGGUCAGGUUCCGCCACCAUGGCCGCCGGCUCCACCAGCAGAACCCGGUCCUUGCGCGCCUUGGCGGCGCCGUCGAAGCACCCGACCGCGACGCCGCCGUCGGCCGAACGUCGCGAGGCCGGGCCGACGCGCCCGGGCGCGCGCACGGAACCCGUCGAGUGCCGGCCAGAGAUCCUCCGCCCAGACUGCACGGGCGUUGGAGCUGGAGCAGGAGGCGGAGCCGGAGCUGACUCUUUGGCCGCCGCCACCUUCGUCUCUGGCGGGUCAGGGGGUCCCGUGGUAGACGGCUUGGGCGGCUCCGGGAGGAGGAGGACAUCCUCCGGGUCGACGCGAGAGCGGCAGAGCGGGCAGGUGGAGUGCGCGUCGAGCCAGGUGUCGACGCACUCGACGUGGAAUCCGUGGCGGCACUUGGGCAGCAGCCGGAGAGCCUCGGUGGGCUCGAACCGGCCAAGGCAGACGGCGCACUCGAGUCCUUCCUUCUGCCCACGCAGCGCGCCGAAGCGGAACACGGGCAGGGACUCGACGACGGCGCGGUCGACGCCGGAGUUCCUCCGGUCCCCGCCGCCCGCGCCACCGGCGCCAGAGGACCCGGAGCCGCCGGCGCUCCCGUAGGGCCCCGACGACUCCGCGGCGCUGCGCUUGCAGUGCUUGGCGUAGAGCAGGAGGAGGAACGUGAUGGAGAAGACGCUGGUGAGGAUGCCGACCACGACGGCCACCCCGGGACGGAACGGCGUGGCCGAGGACGGCGGCGGCGGCGACGGCAGCGGCGACUCGAUCGCGCCGUCGUAGUCCGACAGCAGGAGCCGCCGCGUCCGCUCCAUCGCCUCCUCCUCCUCUCGCAGCGCAGGCCCGGCUAAGGCGAAGCUUCGCUGGCGAUGACCGAUCGAGGUCGAGGCGGGAGCCAGUGAGCCGCACGCGGUGUUGCUGCCGGGUGUGGGUCGCGCUGCCGGUGGCCGCUGCUGCCACCACAAGCGUUCACGAUUUGUAAUCAAGCGGUAGUAGGGGUAAUAAUAGCGGUGGAGACUCGUAGAGUGGAGCGGCAGCAGGCUACUCCUAGGCUAUAGGCUAGCUCUUCCAGCAGUGGGGGCGGUGAGCCGAUCUCCCGGCGAUGGGGCCUCGUGGCGAGGAGAUGAGGCAGUGGGGGGCCUGGGAGAGUGGACCCACGUCAGCUGCGCUGCUCCGCCGGUGAAGCCACCCGCGUGCGGCUUGUCGCCGAGGGAGAUGAGAUGAGAGUGGCAUCAGUACAGUACAGUACAGUACACAGGGGCACUGACAGUUUAGUUGUGGCACUGUGGGGCCAUGUGUCAGACGAGGAACGCAGUUUGGUUGUUUGUUUGUUUAUUUAUUUAUUUAUAUUUUUGUCUAAAGAAAGGCGAGAAUCGCAGCAUGGCUGCAUGGGUUGGCGAGCAGAGACAGAGACCCCUGUUUCAAGCGAGUAAUCUACUCCUGCUUGUGCUUAGCACGCAUUUAAGAAGGAUGGGGUGGGAGAUUACUGUUCUGGACAUCCCAUCAAUACAAAUCGCUUGUGGGCAAGAUGGGAACCCCACCACCUUUUUAAAAUUUGGCUGGCAACAUGGACAUGGCGCCUGAGAUCGGACGGAGCUCGUGCGCGCGGCCGCAACGCAGCCGAGGGAAUGAAUGAAUGCCCCCGUCCCACAAAAAAAAGAUCAGAGCAGAGAGCAGAGCGUGGGCGUGUGCUGGCUCGUGUGGUGGGCGCGAUUAGCGCCCAGCCGCAGACACUGCUUCGGCGGGCAGCCACGGCCCGGCCCGGCCCCGCUUGGCAGUCAUGGCAGGCGAGCGAGACGGUGAUGGUGGCAGUGUGGGCGCGGGUAUCCGUCCCGUGCCGUUCUGUUCCGUUCCGCCGGGCGCGGGUAUCCGACACGUGAGCCUGCCCUUCCUCUGCUCUCGCAUUUUGAAUGUUUGCUGCCAAAAAAUAAUAAUAAUAAUAAUUUUCAGAGGGCGCCUCGUCCGGUCCGGCCUUCGUCGUUCGUCCCAUGGAGCGGCAGGCAGGCCGCAGCCCAGAGCCAGGAUCGGCAGCAGGACCAGUGCUGCACUUUCCGUUUCAGGGACUGCUGGUACUGGAUGCCCCGCCGUUUUCAAGGGUGCAAGGUAAAAAUCAAUUCGUGCCCUCCAAACGGUGAGAGGUUUGGGUACGCUCUGCACUUGAAGAUCAGAGGUGUGUUUUCAGCUGAGACCUUGAUUUCGUUCGGGGCUUGGUGUGCCUUGGGCAAGCAUGCUCAUUGUUCGCUUUGCUGCCCUGCUCUCAUGUCGUCCGGCGAGUGGAAUUGUGGAAAAGGAGGAGAGCGGUACCGGUACGGUACGGAGCGGCGAGCGCCGCGCUCUGCCCGGCCGGGGACGGGACAGCGGUGGCUCCAGUAGAUCUGGAUGCGCCGGCACUGUGCAAGUACACGCCAAUGAUAGCCCACCAUGGCCACUUGCUCACUGCUCAUGCACUCUGCUCACCGUCCGUCGUCUGUCCGUGCCCCUGUUUCUCGCGCCUCUGUCGUCGAUCCUCCUUGGGCCACACCCACACCAAACCAAACUCGCCAUCGACCGGCCGGCUUCGGCUUCUUCUUCACCCGCGCGCGGCUAGCUAGUGAAACACCGGAACCCUACCUGAUGGCUCGUGGCUGAUUCCUGACGCCUGGACUGGGUGCGUGCUCAUUGCUCGACAACAGUUACCGCCGCUGUGGUGCAAUAGUUUCACGCCCGGCCGGAUUCCGUACAGCUCGGCGGCGCGGCAUGCACACACACUUAGGCCCGGCCGGCGCGGCGGGCGACAUAAGUCUGUUCGGCGCGCGACGUACACUGCGCGUGCUGUACGAGUACGCUAGCUGUAACUGGAGAGAGUUUACCUUACCGCAUGCGUCGACGACGAACGAGAGCUAAGCUAGCUAGCUAGCUUUGGCCUGAUGCUGCUGCCGCAACUGGACACGGUGUACCCUACCGGCGGCUGGCCGGCGUCUGGAGCUAGCUGCAUGCGGGCCGGGGGAAGAUGAUGAUCGAUCCAGCAGCCUGGUGGCGGCACUGCGGCAGCGCGUGUGAGGAUGUAUUGGUGGGACGACGGUGAUGGCCGGAACAGUUGAGCGGCUUGUCGCCGAGCGCCGAGAGAGAGGAAGAGCGCACGUUGCGUAUAUGUGCAUAUAUGUGUGCGUGGUGGAACGGGCAGGUAACGUCGCGAUCCUAGCUGCAGAGCUAGUGUAGACGUUCACUGUUGGCUCUGACGACGACACACCUUGGUGCAGGGCGUCCCAUGUAGGACACUGGGUUGGUAGACGACGACGCGUGGGCCGGGAGAAGCCGACAUGGUUGAUGGUUGUGCCGAAUCUACUGACGUCGUCUCCUCUCCUUGUUGUUGAGCUUCGGCAAUUGCUGCUGCCAUGGUUAUUGUUGGUCGCUCCCAGUCCCAGACUCGCAGUUAAACCCAAAGCUUCAGUUUCGACCCCCAUAUGGCCAUAUGGGAAGGGAAGAAGGACCUCUUUGACAUGUUUGGGCGAGCCUACACGAAGCCCACAGCCCACCCGACGUCUUGUGAUUCUUUGGGCCCAGCCGUCGCCGUUAAGGGGCACUACCCUACGCAAAGUUGGCCCAGGUCACAUGGUGAUGGUGGAGGCUUCUUGAGCGGCCUGGAGCUCAAAGGGAAAUAGUGAGGCGGCCUUCCUUGUCCAACGCAUUCUUCAGGCCCACUAUGCUGCCUGCGAUCCCUACUUUGCUAGACACACGGGGCAAAGCGUCUAGUCAACAAUUUUUCUCUCCACAAAUGCUGUUUGCGGCAAAUGUAGCCUUCAUAAUGGACCGGACUGUGGCCCAAUGCCAUCCUCCUCUAGAGUCCUGGUGCACCAAAUCGGUUUUGCAUCUGCUCUAAAAAAAACUGUGUUGCAAGCAAAAAAAAAACUAUGUUGCUCAAAAAAAGCAAAAAAAAAAAAGGGUGCAGUAACUGGUAAUCUGGAGAAAACGAAUAAGAUAUGCUUUUGUAUUUUUAUUAUUAUAUUAUAUAUACGGUACCACUAGUAUUUUGGAUAAGGCUUGUUGUUUCUCUUUGUGUUGCAGCACAGUUGACAAGUGGAUUCUGUACUUCAAAUAAGCAUGUCCGAAAGAAACACGAAAAUAGUCCCCCGAAACUCUCUUGCUCGGGCUCGUCAAUGUCCAUCUUCCCGUAUUCGUAUGAACCAUGUAGGGCCCUUUCUCAGUCUGUGUGCUCCAUGCCACAUCUACAGGCUGUUUUGGACUAGCUUAUUUCCAGCCUUUUUCUUUUAAUUUCUUUCAUGCCUAUAAACUCGAUAUGUAAACCGGGGUAAACAAACAGCUAGCCGUUAUUAGGCGAUGAAAGCUGAUAUUUGUUUGUCUCCAAUUAUUACCACUGGAUGUGAUGCGUGGGCAUCUCACACGGCUAAUCAGAGAUGUAAAUAUCUUGCCUGGUCUAGCUAGAUGACCUGUGCAAUUCAGCCCAAACGAGAUAUUUUGGCAGAUUCGUGUAGGGUUGGCCUGGGCAUGCAGCAUUCUGGGUCCAACGAUAAUGGCUAGCUGUCGCACGGAUGACACGGCAAUGACACGGUGCAAGCACGCAGUUCAUGUCAUUGCUCCAGUGUCCUCCUCUCCAACGUUUUCGGUCGCACGCAGAACAGAGAGCACUCUGUCCGUGCGAGCCCAGUACGAGGCGGGCUAGGCUAGCCGUGUAGUAUGUAGGACGCGUCGCGCGCCCGCGAAUUGGACGAGGCCGCUGCGCUGCGUGGUCACCGCGCACGGCAGACGGGCACGCAUGGCCUCCAUGCCUGGGGCAGGGCUGGGCAGGGCAGGGCAGCUCGCGCUCGCGGUCCCGGCCGGGUUGCCUGUCCGCCUGCCUGCCUGCGCGGCGCUCUUCCAGACGACCUGCUGGCCCGGGCCAGCCGGACGCCGGGGACGCCGGUCUGGCUGGCACCAGUGCGCGGUGCGGCGCGCCUGGACAAGGCCGACAGGCGCCAGCUGUGAUGUGCAAGCAUACAAUACGAUCCCCGCUCCAUCGAUUCGAAUCCAGGAGCAUGGGCGCAGCUUAAAUGCUGCAGUGGUACUCUACCGUUACAGUAGAUUGGAGGACCGAAGGAGGUAGUAGGCAGGCAGCAGUGCGUAGUACUACUCCUACAUGCAAUGCACCGAGUAUGAUGAGCGCAGCUGGCACCUGCUGCGGCGCAAUGCCAAUGCCAUGUCCCCCGUUGCUCCUCCUUCGAUGCCGACGCCCAACGUACUGUACGUGUCCCGUGAUGAUGCCAAUGUGGCUGUCCAGUACCGCAGGUGUUUGAUUGGAGUUGUUCUAUUGUAUUGGACGUGGCAGCGCGCUGCGCAGCAGAAUGGUGCGCCCAUGGUUCCACGUUAUCACUCUAUUAAGUCCUUAUUACGAAACCCAGCACGGCUACAUUUGUUUGUUACGGUAUAUUUUAGCAAUUCUAGAUUUUAGAUUUUAUUAUACGAUUUGAAAGGAGGAGAAUACUCUAGUGUGCCAUGGUGUAAUUGACACUCCUCAAGCGCACAACAUAGUUGCAAUCUAUACAUAUUCGUUGAACAUUCUAGAUAUUCAACUGGUCUAUCAUAUUCAUCUCAUCAUGAUGCGGUUUAAAGAUUGAGGAGAUCGACCAUCACAGUUCCAUCUAUUCACAAUUUCUCAUGUCUAAUCCUACUAUUGCCUUUGUUCUAAAUUAUAAAUCGAUUUAUUUUGAUAUAUAGAUUUUACUAUAAAUCUAGACAUACCAAAGAAAAUCAAAACGACUUAUAAUUUAGAACGGAGAGGUUAUUACUAAUUAGAGGGUCAAAUAAAGACACCACGUUAGUUCCCACCAAAUAUGCUAGAAGAAAAAAAAAGAUAAAUUCUAAAAAUUCUCACAAUAAACAAAACACAUGCAUCUAGCCUUUAAUUUGCUAGACUUGAAUCAUCAUCAUCGACAAUAGCCAUUGAUCUAUUGUAAUUUAGAAUAAAAAGAACUCACCACUGCCAUUAUUAUGAAUAAACUCUAUCCAUCACUGCCAAUACGCAAGAUAAUUCAGAAUAAUCCCCUAGAUUUGUAUAUAAAUUAGAUAACUCAAAUAACCCUAAAUUUGCAUCUAAAUUAUACACCUUUAUCAUUAUAAAACACAAAUCCAAAUAACCCCAUAAGAUUGCAUCUAAAUUACCCAUCUUUACUAUUAUGAAAGGUAAUUUCAAAUAACCCUCAAACUUUAUAUCCAAAUUACUCACAUCUACCAUUAUGAAAGAUAUAAAUUAAAAUACACAAUGCUUCCAUAAAUCCCCUUCCUUAUCAUUAUGAAAUUUUUUUGGAAAGUAAACUGUGAGUAUCUAUAUGUUACAAAAUAAAUAAGAACAAAAUCUAAAUUUAUUUAUCAUAUAUAUUAAAUAAUAGCUAAGUAAUAUUUCCUAAAAUUCUAACCUGUGCGAGAGCAUGGAUUAAUGCACUAGUAGAUACUUAAUCGAGUCCGGAGUACCCUAACCACAACAUGCCGUCAAGUUUUGUUCUCAUUGUAGACAUAUAAUUGAUAUUUUUUUUUCUUAUGCUAGUAUUAGCCUUUACGUGCACGUUUGCACCUACUCCCUCCGUCCCAAAAUAAGUGUCGUUUUCGCUUCCCGAGAAAUAACUUUAACUAAAUAUAUAGUAAAAAAUAUUAGUAUUUAUAGUACAUAAUCAGUAUCAUUGGAAAGAUCUUUAAGUCUAGUUUUUUAACAAAUUUAUUUAGAGAUAUAAAUAUUGCAUAUAUUUUCUACAAAUUGAGUCAAACUUGUGGCACAAAAAUCUAAAACGACACUCAUUUUGGGACAGAGGGAGUAGUCUUCAUGAUUUCAUCUGUAUUUUAGGGUGUGUUUGGGACUGCUCUGCUCCACGUUUUUUAGCCAAACGGUUUCAGCUCCACGCACUCAGUUCGAGAAAAAAGAUAGAGUUGUGAGAGCACCUAAAGAGGUACUCCACGAACUCCAGUUGUUUAUGCGAAUGGUUGGCGUGCAUGUUUGCAUGUCAUACUCUAUGUUGACUAUUUUGUACUGAAACCACGGCUGAGACCAUAUUGGACCAUAAACAAGCUAAGUACAAGAAUGAUCCAAAGUUUUUUAAUACUUUGUCUGAUUGGAUAUUAUAAUAUUUACAUUAUCUCAAUUGAAUUAAUAGUUAAUAUUGUAUUUUUUUACCAAAUUUACUCAUAUAAAACUGUUAGCAACAGACCUCACUAAUACCAUAACAAGCAUGAAGAAGUACUCUCAAUCAAUACAAUCCGAUAUAACAAAGUGAGAUAGAGUUUAUAGAAGGAAGUUAUGUCAAAAAUACAAAGUUUAAGUACGAUAUUGGUCAUUUUGAUAGUUCAGUGAUAAAACUAAGGCCAAACGAAAACUUUAAGAACCGAAAUGGCAAUUUAAGGACUAAAUUUAGCCUUUUGCAAUACUUGAAAAGGACCAAGAUGAGAAUUCUGCCAUGAUUAAACAAAUGGAUGUGUAAUUUGAAUCUCUCUCUUUUAAAUAAAAAAAAACAGGAGAGGUUUUGUCCCAAUGCUGGAAAUAUACUAAUAGAAAAAGGUACAGUACAAGUGCAGAGGAAAACAGUUUAAUCUAAAAGGAACAACAGAAAACUAGAGUACAAGUACAGGGAUAAAAUUAGCUCUCAAGAGAAGUUUGCUUUCCAUUCCUGAAAUCUGAUGAGAUAUUUCCUCUUGAUUCGGUGAACUAAGCUCUAGUUCCAGAGAGCAGGUUCUUGCAUUCUCAUACCGAGGCAGGUAUACCUUUGAAGAUAUGAUUGUUCCUAGUCAUCCAAAUUGCACAGCAUUAUUCAUAGUAAUUUGUAUCUCUAGUAAUGACGAACAAAUAGCAUACGAUAGCCCGAGGAUCUUAAGUUUAUUUGAGUACAAGUUUGUUGGUCCUGCAAUUCUUUAGUUCUUGUACUUGACAAACGGGGCUGUAAUUUUUGCUUGAUGACAUUGCAUCAAGUCACACUAGCACAUUAUGUGAGAAAGCACUUGGGCUCAGGGAUGAAGCCAGAAAAAAAUUUAGGGGGGCUGAACAAAAGUGCUACGUCGACUUAGCUCUACUAUAACCCAUUAUAAUAUAAAAAUAUAAUAGCUCGAAGUAGUUUUAUAUUGAAAACAUCAAUCAGGAAUGAAAUUCACAAAAUAACUCAUAAAAAGUAAAAGCCCCAGCCCACCUUAACUUAUACAUUUGUGCUUAAAAUUAAAAAGAAAAUACUAAGAACUCUACUGGUCCAGCAGCGGUAGGGGGGGCUAGAGCCCCCCUAGCCCUACCGCUGGAUCGGUCAAAUGGGGAUAAACACAGUAACAAACAUCCUUUUGUGUUCAAAAUUCCUUGUAACCUGACAGCACCUUGACUCGAUCUCGACAUAUGUCCAAAAGCGGCCGUGCUGGUUUGUAAAGAGUAGACCAAAUCAGCACACCUGUAUAGGUGUACCUAACGACAGCAUGUCGGAGGGAGGAAAAAUCUCAAACAUGUAUCGAAAGGACGUCGGAAGAG